rnacentral:lncRNA from 1 species
AGUCUUUUUGUUGAGUCCAAAUUGAAUCUACAUUGCAAUUUCUUGAUUGAAGCGUGUUGAGUUUCUGUAGCAGUAGCAAGUACAAGUUUUGGGUUGAUUUCAUAUGUUUUCUUGGUGAUUGAGAGGUCGCUGAUUUGCCAAUUUGAAUGCUUAACGGGAUGAAUUUGGAUAGAGAGUAUUAUUUGAAAUAAUUAUUGUACUUUUUGUGAUGUAUUGUAUGUGAGAUAAAAAUAUGAAUUAGAAAAAAAUGUGAAUUAGAAAAUGUGUUUAUGGUGCAAGUAAAAUAUUAUUUGAGAUAACUUAUGUAAUUUUAGAACAAAAAGGUUAAGUUCCAUUUGUAAUAAAACGAAUGAUAUCUGACCCUAAUCAUAUUUAUUUUUUCCUUAAAGUGGGAUCUGACCAAUCCAUAUUCAUUUUUGUAAUUAAAAAAGUGGGAUUUGACAUUUUCGUACAUAAAUAAUAAUUGCAUGUGGCUCACAUAAUAAAUUCAGGACAAAAAGUGUUCAAAAAUUUAGGUUGGAAUCAAAUUUUAUCGAUUUGAUUUUGUGAAAGAUGUAAAGUUACUAUUUUAAAAGUGACGAAAGAAAAAAUUCAUUUAGUAAGAUAUGAAAGACGUUUUGAACGAUUUUUCUUCAUUUUUUUUUCAAACUCAUUACAUUGUAUAUAAAUUCAUACCCAUAUGGAAUCAUCCACUUGUCUACACCAGAAGUUUUUAUUACCUAUAUAUUAAAAAUUUGACGUAUAUAUAUAUAUCCUUAUUUUGUUGACACAUUCACAAAUUUUAAAAUCAUCAAUUCCUUGUGAUCAAUUUGACUCUUAUCCUAUCUUUUAGUAGGCCUUUUUUUCCCCUGGUUAGUAAAAGUAGCGGAGGAGGGGUUCCAUUGUUCCAUAGUAGGCCUAAUAGAAAGCCAUAUAAAAUCUAGUUACUGUUUAUGUCCAAAAAUCUAGUUACUGUUUAUGUCUUGUUUGGUGCCCAAGAAUGGUCGACAAAAUUUCAAAUCUUAAAUGGGCUAUUCAGCAAGCCCAAUUGAGAAAAGUAAAUCCUGAGCAGAAGUAUGUACAACAAUUAGACGUACACGGACCUCUCUAUUUUGGACAGAAUCCAACCCAAAAAUUUGUUAUGGAGUACUGCAAUCAUACGCUACUCGGCCCUCUUUAUUUUGGAUCCAACCCGACCAAACUUUUGUACAACCCGCUUCAUCAUCUUUUUGUCACUUUUCUACCUUUUAUCUUAUUUUCCCUCUCCUCAAUCAAUUAAUCAAUCAUACAAAACCCUCGCUUUUCACUGGAAAUUUUCCAAAAAAUUUUGAAAUUUUUUCUUUUGGGGCAAUUCUAUCUCGGAUAAUUCAAUCAAAUCCCUAAUUUUCUUCUCCUUCAAUUUCGAUUUCAGCUCUGAUAAAUUUCGGCCAUGGCUUCGCAUCAGAAGAAAGAAUCCAUUGCUUUACUCUCCAUAUACGGCGACGAAGAUGACGAGGAAAUGGAAGAAGCUGAAGCCGAAGCAGAAAUCGAAGCCAAAACCGAAGAAGAAGCUGAACAACAACCAUUUCAGAUACUUCAAGUGGAACAAGAACGAGAAGAAGAGUUUUCCGUAACAGAAAACCACAGCACCAUUGUCAUACGAGAGAGUACUAGUACUACAAUUGUAGCUUCGGAUUUAGUAGUAGAAGAAGAAGAGCGGCAUGAGCAGCAACAGCGAGUAGGAGAAGAUAAUGUUACCCCUGGCAGGGGGGUAUUUGGGGGUUUAGGAGGGUCAGCAUCCGCCACGCCGCAGGGUUCAGCUUCUUCACCUGGGCGGCGAAGGAAGGAGAGGAUAACGAUUGUGGAUUACGGGCAUGAUGAGGCCGCGAUGUCUCCUGAGCCAGAGGUAUUGAUCAGUAUGUAAAGGCACAAGAAUGUAUGUGUCUACGUUGUUUUAUCUUUUCUUGUUUGGUGUUGUUUGUCUGUUCGGUUUUUCUGAUUGGUCGUUGUUACUUUUAUUUGUUUGAGUUGUAGGAAGGGGAGAUAAUGGUGGGUCGAAAUUCGAUGGAAGUGGAGGGUGCCGCAAUGGUUAAUGGUAUGAAUUUUGGUUUGCCGUUUGAUCAAUUCAAUUUGCAGUUGUCAUUUGAUUAUUGUGUUGUUUAUGCUGUUGUAGGUGUCAUGCUGUCUGAGAUUAUUGUUAGGUAGAGGGAUUUAAAGUAUCUAAUGGGUUAAUUUAGUGCUUGUGGAAACUAUCCAGUUGCUAGUUAAAAAGAUGUGCUUAAUCAAUUACUCCGAGGCUUUUUAGAUAUCCUGUUAGAUCAUACCAUGGGACCAUUUACUUGGUUUUCUCAUUCAGUGUGACCUGUUGUUGAUGUGCAAUAUUCAAAACGUAAGUUAAGUCGAAAAAAUGUCAUUAUUUUUUUUCUUUUAUAUUAUAGUUAUAUUGUUAUGUCACCAGGAGACAAGUACUAGGUUUCUUUAUUUAGUUUGACCUGUUGUUGACUGGUAUAAUGUUGAAAAUGUACCCGAUUUACUUAAUGUAACUGAUACACUAAAGAUAUUUAAAUGUUGUACGUGUUUAUCUACUGUUGUUCUUAGUCCUGUGACUGUUCUAUAUCCAUUCUAGUACAUAAGGUUGGGUCGAACAUGCGGGGGUUGUGUAAAAAGGUGGUUGUUGGGGAUCCUGCGUAAGAAAUGAACUGACCUUAACCGGAGUUCGACGCUGUGAGGUAGUGAUAAUGAUGGGGAAAGAAAAAUGUAUACCGGAUUAGUAAUGAGGGAAUAUUCUGAUACCAUAAAUGUGGGGUACCGUGGUUAUUCAUAGACAAGAUAGGACACUAAUAAUAAGUUGAAUGUGGCCAGCAUAACCUUGCACUUGCCUGGCUGGCACUGCUAUUAAGCAGUGCAUCUCAGUUGUCCCGCUUCUGAAUAGUCCCAUAAAUAUGGUAAUUUUCCUGAACACGUGAUUUACCAAAAUCAGCAGAUGGGCUUCCCGUAUUGUUCUUCCGGAGCUUUGCAACAACUCUUUCUAAGAUUUGUAUUCGGCCUUUGCUGAAGUUCCCAAGCUUUUGCAAAUUCUCAUAGUUCACAGCCUUUAUUUAUUUAUUUAUUUUUACCUUUUCCUUAAUGGCUUCUUUAUCCCAUACUGAACUUGUAAUGUCUUGUCAUAAUGACAUUUGCAACUGUAGCUUUCCUUCUCGCUUCUCUAGGCUUUCCUUGUGAGUUUCCAGAUAAGCAAUUGUGCCAAAGUAACCGCCGUUUUGAUUUUUCAUUUCAAUUUUAAAUUUUAAAAACUUUGAGUUUCCCCGCCCUUCUCUAGGGUUAUGCCUUUAUAUAUUCCCCUCAAGCUUCAUUCACCAAUUUCACCUUUGUUUUGCAUCUUCUUAGUGUUCCAAGCAUUCUUAGACUUGUGUACUGGAAAUUUCAGAAUUCAUUAUUCAGCCCAUUCUUGGUCUUACAGUUUCCUUCAAAGCAUCCAUAACAUUCAGCUGCUUUUUCUGCGAAUGUUCCCUCUGUCCAAGCCUUAGGCUAACAAGGAUAUGGAAUGUAGUUCUAUUGUAGUUGGGUGUACAAGAUCCAAGUUAGAGUUGUGAUUUUCCUUGCAAUUUUCUUACUGACCCAUGUGCUUGUACUAAUUUAAGUCUGCGGGUUGAUUGGGACAAAAUUUAUUUUUAGCAUAAUCAGUCGCUGGAGAGUUGAUAGCAGCUGUUGUUGUGUGCUGUUUACUUCAUGGACUGUGGUAUUCUCUGUUAUAUGCCUCUAAACUUUCAUAUAGCAGUUUAUUGUGCUGGACUGUAAAUUAUUUUUCUUUUAUUUGUUGAUUUUUAAAUGGACAAGCAUUAUCCUUCGGGAAUGUAACUGGAACAUUGGAUAUAAAAUAUGACUCAUACCAGGAGAAAAGAAACACCGUGCCUCUUUCAACAGCUUUUGAGUACUACGGAUAAUUUAUCCUUUUCUAUUUUCCUUUUUUUUUUCUUUUUCUUUACACCUUAUAUUUUUCGAAUUGCGUGGGUAUACUCCUUACAGUUAGAAAUAUAUCGAUCAAUUUGAUUAAAAUAUAGUCUUGAAAAGUGGAUUGAAACCUGUUUUGGUUGAAUGGUCUGUUUUGUAGUGCAAAGUAAAUUUUUUAUGCAACCAUGCUUUUUUUUCGUUUUCGUUUUUUAACUACUUUUGUGAAUGUCCAUUUACAUAUGAGAAGAAGCAUAUUGAAGUGUCAAAGCAAAGCUUAAGGUUUCAUAGCUUGUUAGUUUUCCUGAUCCAUUUUUUUACUUAUUCAGGUAACUUUCAAGUGAAGACAGUCCAGGUGUUGACACCUGGUGACCGAGCGACUCCUCCCCAAGUAUCUGAUCCAAAUGAUCAGGCAGAGAUGGCUACGAGCAACCCUGCUGUAGUUGGAUCAGAAUCAGCCGAGGCUGCGGAUGCAGAUGUGGUUCCUUCAAAGGAGGCGGAAGAUAUUGAUCUAUUAAAUAAUUUUUUACCACCGCCACCGGAGGCUAAGUGCUCAGAUGAACUGCAAGUAAGUUUGGUCACGUUAAUUGAUUCAAGUUUUUAUGUGAUUUUAAAUGGAAGACUACAUUUAUUGUUCCCUUUAAUACAUAGUAAGUUUGCCAAAUUAACAUCCUUAAGUGUAGUGUGUAUAUCCUUGUCUUCAUGUCCAUCCUUUCUUUUCUCCUGCAGGAGAAGAUAAGUAAAUUUCUUCGAUUGAAGAAGAUUAAAAGCUAUAAUGCAGAAGUGCGCAACAGAAAAGAAUAUCGGAACCCUGACUUCUUACGGCAUGCCAUGAUAUAUCUUGACAUUGAUGAGAUUGGAUCUUGUUUUAGCAAGGAUGUCUUUGAUCCCCAUGGAUAUAAUCAAAGUGACUUUUAUGAUGAAAUAGGUAACUGUAGCACUCAUUAAAUCUUUACUUUUUGAUUUGUCCCUUUUGCCAAUGACCUGCAUCAUCAAGUGUAAUUGCUGUGACUUCAUGCUAAAACUAUCACGUAGUACUCAUUAAAUCUUUACUUUUUGAUUUGUCCCUUUUUCCAAUGACCUGCAUCAUCAAAUGUAAUUGCUGUGACAUCAUGCUAAAACUAUCAGAUGUGAUUAUUUCUCGACAAUGCACGAUAUUUUAAGGAAGGUUUUGCUUACAAACAAUUGGAAUUAGUAAACUGCUUUGAUAUUAGGCCUUUUUUUUUUUUUUUCAUUUUUUUAGCAAACAGCAAUUAGUAUGUUUAGGCUGUCUUUGGUUUUCUAUGGAUGGUCAUGAUGUGGAUUUUUGAGAACUUACAAAUUUCUGCGUCAAUAAAUUUAGGAAUGAACAGCCUUGUGGUUUGGGAGUGUAGAAUACAGAGAGAUGCAAAAGGAAUGGUCUUAUGGGAUGAGAAAGUGGGACACUAAACUUCCUGUAUGAUAGAAAGGCUGUGAUAAAAAAGACGAGGGUUCUACUCAUUUGGGCUCUACAUACAGUUGUGUAAUAUUGUCUUUCUGAGAGUAGAGAAGCAUGGUAUUAAAAGAUGAAAAUGCCCUUUUUAAGGCUUCCUUGUGUGUGGAGUAAAAUGUGAUGGACUUUAAGAUAAGAAUACCUCUCCUUAUCUGCUUCUUAUCAAAUAGUGGCUUAUGAUGAUAUCCCAAAAGAUAUGAGGAUCCUUUUUUCCACCUUCUGCUCCCUUGGUACCAAUGUAACUUACAUAUGCUAGUAAACUAGAACUGACAAUGGUGCUAAUCUACUUGUGAUUGUAUUCAUGAAAUUAAAACAAUUAUCUAUGCGAAUUUUUAUUGUGUCCUUAGGAGAUUUUAUUUAAUUACAAGUACAGAAAAUCAGAAAAUAUCCUGGUCAAAGUGGUACUAGAUUUGUCAAAAGUUAUCCACAGUUAGUGAAUUUUGUGGUCUUGUAAGCAGUUUAUUGGCUUACGAAGCUUCUACUCUUUGUGCCUAAUCUGAUGUAGUCUCAAACUGUUUAAUAGUCUAAUAUGCGUUCUUUACCAGUAUUUUAAUCUAUAGCAUAUAUGGAAGGGGGUUGGAAUUCUGGCAUCAACUUCAGGGUGGGAAUAAAAAUUGUGUCAUCCUAUUGGUUUAAGCUUGGUUUUUUCUGGCAUGGUUCGCAGAACAGAAUUGGGGACAUGUAUCUGUGUUUUUCAUCUCUUUGCCAGUUCCUUUUCUCUUUUCACACUGUUCUGAACCUUAAAGUAAUUCAAUUUGCAGGAAUCUGAAAUUAGCCCUCAUGAUUUUUUUUUACCGCCUUUCAAGCAGACUGUUAUUCCUUCACUUUGGUUCAUUAGCUUUCAUUCCUCCUAUCAUGGUUCAGCCUCAGAAACAGAAUAUACAGCUUCUAGUAUUCACUUUCAUUCAUUAGCUUUUAUUGUCCUAGUAUGCUGGUUUCACCAAUAGUUUGUCCAUGUGCAGAGCUUGAUAUGAGGCGAGAAAUGGAGAGGAAGGAGCAAGAAAGAAAGAGAAGCCCAAAAAUAGAUUUUUUGUCUGCAGGCACACAACCAGGAGCAGUUCCAACUCCCAAAAUCAAUUUGCCAAUUCCAGGUCCCAAAACCACCUUGACAUCUGGUUGCUCGAGUUUUUGGUCAUUGAAAAUUGUGUUGUCUUGUCUAUAGAUAUGGAUAUUCUUGGAAACCAUUUCUAAUUAUUUUUCUAUAUUUGAUAGUUGCACCUGGAACUGGAUUGAAUACAGUAACUGCUGCGGUGGACACUUUAGCUCGGGAUGGCCGACAGAACAAGAAAUCCAAGUGGGAUAAGGUUUCCAUCUACUUAUGUAGUAAUAUAAAAGAUUUCUAGUAAAGAUGUGAAUUACCCUUCAAUUAAUCAGUUAGCUUACUUGAUUUCAGGUGGAUGGUGAUAGAUUUAAUCUUGUGCCGACUGUUGGGCAGGAUGCUGUGUCUGCUGUUGCAACACAUGCUAGUUUUCUGUCCGCUGCUAAUGCUGGUACUGGAUAUUCUGCCUACGCGUAAGUUCUUUAUGCAUAUUCAAAUCUCAUUUUCACUCGUCUCCGUCUUAACUCUAUUAUUUUUUGUUUGCAGUCCUGCACAUCCAUUACCUCUUCCAACUUUCCUUGUCUGAUGGUCUUGAGUAUUCUAUGGUUGACCUAGCAGUGCCUUGAUGCUCUAUGGUUACUAUUGAAAUAUUUAUUUAGGGUUGUAAGAUUAUGCUCUUGCUUUUUCUAAACAGGUCUAAUGUGUAGAUAUAAUUUAAUAAUGAUCACAUGAUCUGACUGUAUUACUUAGUUCUUGUUAUAUAUAUAUAUAUAUAUAUUUUUUUUUGAAAGUGUAAGUGGGAGGUCUUGAACCCGGGACCUCUCACUUACACUCCCUCCUCCCGCACCACCCAACCCAUCCCUCCCCCCCCCUCCCCUGCCCCGCCCCCUUCCGGGUUAUAUAUUCUUACAUACCUCAUUUCAGACAUCUCCUAAUUUUAAUUAGUAGAUUAGCUUUUGUUUUGUUCUAACUACACUUCGGAAAUUGUGAAUGGAAUACAUCUCAUCUUAGCAGGUGAAGUACUUAGAAAAGAAGAGGAUGCUGUGUAAGACCCAUUUUGGGUUCCUUUUUUGGAUCUUUUCCAGCUUUUUCUAUUGAUUAAUGGUCAUUGAGUUGCAUAGAUCAAUCAUAACCUUGCAUUCAGGACUAUGUUAGUAACUUCUAAAUUAAUCGUAGUACAGUUUCUUCUUUUUAUACCUAUCUUUGUUUGUUUUCUUCUUUUUUCCCUUUUUUGGGGGGGAAGGGGGGGGGGGUUUGGGUUUGGAAUGGUGGUAGGGUGGGUUAUGUGAUGUUGACUGAAUGUUUAAAUUGGAUUUAGAUAUGUGAAAAUUGUGUGUAUGAAAAUAUUAACAUCUGUUAUCUAUCGAAGUUCUGUUACAAUGGAUCUAAUUGUAGAGCGGGCAAGAUAAAGUGAUCAAGUUUGGUAUUGGCAAAUCGUUGGGCUUUAAGUAAUAUUCAUGUUAAUAGAUAUGCUGUGCGAGUCUCAGAUCAAAUAGUGGUAUUGGAGAAGCAUCUUUCUUUGGUGCUGCUACCUGAAAAUUUUAGAACAUGAAGUGUAGACAGGACAAAUUGUGAAUUGAGAGAACAUAAAGUGCUGCAAUAUGUUAUGUGGAUUACAGCAUAGCUAGAGACAUGUAUGGGAGGCAGGUCAUGUUUAUUUCCUAUAUGCUCUUCUUAGAGAUUCAACUCUUUUUCAUGCUGUAAAACUUGAAUGAAUAUUUGUUGGCCUUUCUUUUAUGUCUUGAAUAAGACUUCUAUUGUGGUAUUUCACCUGUCCCCUGAAAGUUCCUUACUCCACUGAUUGCAGCCAACAAAGACGACGGGAGGCAGAAGAUAAACGUUCAAGUGAUAAGAAAUCUGACAGAUCUAGUGACAAGAAAUCAGAUAGAAGGACUUGAUUAGUUCAGCUUGCACAGUUGACAAGGAAGCUAUCAGCCUGUGAGAUCCAUCAAGAUGAAGAUAGAAUGUGGCUCCACCACAUUUCUAGGCUGUAUUUGUUUCUAGAUCUUACCAAUUUGUAUAUGAAUGAAUAUAGGGAGAGCCGGUUUUCAUGUCAGCCUUGCUAAAUCGGAAAUUUUGAUGGGAACGGUUGUCUGCAAAGCUUGCUCCGUUCUUGCAGCAAAUUGAGUGUAACUAAAUUUUGAUGGAAGCUGCUGUAUUAUAGAAAUCCUGGUUGCUCUAUCAUGCCUACUUUUUCCCUAUUUUGUUGGUUUUUCUGUUUUUCAGUUCUUUGCUUGCUCCCCCUAUUAAGGUUGCCAUGUUAAUGCUGCCAAAGAUGUUCCCUUUCAUAAAUCACAGUGAAGAAAAAAGGGUUACAGUAUUGUUUUAUUCUUUUUGCCUUUCUGUUUGUUGGCAACUGGGAUACCUUCCAGUCAGUCAAAACCAUCAUUUGGUGCGCACGUACUCGACGACGGCAAGAUUUACAUCAGCCGAAAGGAAAAGCUUUGCAUGAAAAGUAAAUGGCAAACAGCACUGACCCAUGAAACUUGGCCCCAGCCACGUUAGUUAGUACAACGAGGUGGUAGAAAGAAAGGUUCCUCCCUCCUUGCCUGCUAACACAGGAUCUACCCAAACUUUUUUGCUAGGUCAAGGUUAUCCUUAGCUAGAACUCCACAUCAUAUUCAUAUUAAAUUAUUAAUCCCAUUUCGUGGAGUAAUUUUCGGGUAGUCAACAGGAACAUGCUUUAUAUUACAGGUCAAUUCAUCUUUCUUUUUUUUUGUUUAUCUUUAUUUUUAAGUUCAAGAGAGGCUUAAAACCUUGCAAGGAAAAAGGAGAUGGUUUAAGAGUCGAAUUAGUCAUUUCAUUCACCUGCUUAAUAUUUUUGCUGAUUUAAAACUUUAGAUAUUUUCUUAAUAAGAUUAUCAUGAUUGAAUUUGUAAUCAUUUCUUCAUUCUUUCGUUGAUCCUCAUGAUUGAAUUUGCAAUUAUUUCGUUAUUUAAUCUACUUCAUUUGAUGGAGAAUCAAAUUAAAUUGGAGUCUGAUUCUUCAGCCAUUUGUCUUCGAAUCCUCCAACCACAUCUUAUGCUUGACCAUCUCACAGGUGGGUUGCAUAUAUCUUCCUUUUUCAUUUUUGGUGUCAAAAGAAGAAAAGUACAUGUAUGUAAUACAAACUUUUUUGCUUUCUUUGAAAGAGGAAGAAGAUACUUGCAUAUGCUGCACAAGAUCUUGUUUUCAAUAUGACUUUUGGCUGUCUUCUAUCCUAUUCCUAUGAAUGUUGGUUGGCCACAGGAUUGUACAGGGUGAUAAAUGCCAUGUUAUUUCGCUUUUUGUUCAGAUAAAAAGUGACUAUUCAAGCUACAAAAUAGGAGAGCUCAUUUAUCGAUGCCGGUCUUCUUUUUUUGGCAUAAAAAAUAGAGAGACGUUGGAGAUGGAUUUGUACGCCGCUCUCCCAAAUCACAUGUUCAAGCCUAGUCAGUAGAGAGUUGGACACGCACAUUUUAUACCAAAAUACACCAAAAUGUAAAAGAAAAGGUUGCAAUGAAUUUGCUUCUUUUCUUAUUUUUUUUAAGUGAGAAGAUUUUGUUAGGAAAUUAGCUUAAUUUCUUUUAGGUAGAUUUCUUAUUUUGUGUGGAAGUAACUAGUUUCCUAAUUGGUUUUAGUUACUUGAAGUAGUAGCCAAGAAAUUCUAUUUAGUUUAGAAAAUAGUAUUGGUUUCCAAUUGUUAUUUGGUUUUUUGGCAGUAAUGUUCCCUAUAAAUAGAUGGGUUGACAUACCACACAAGUAGACACGAGUGACGCACAAGGGACACAAGAGGCAUCAUGUAGCCUUAUACAUGAGGUGUGAGAGAGGGUUCUUGGGAGAUGAGAGAUGAUAUACAAGGGUUGGGUUUGGGUUCAAGUUGUAUUCUUGUAUAGGGUUUUCUCUCAUAAUAAAGAACAUGUUUCUCUCCGUGGAUGUAGGCUCAAUGGUGGAGGCGAACCACGUUAAAUAUUGUGUGUCAUUUAUCUUUCAUGCUUGUGGCUUGUUUCUCAUUAAAUUGUUGUGCACUUGAUGUCUCAAUAGUUGUUUAUUCCGCGCCUGAAUCCCAACAGAUUUGAAUACUUACAACCCUUCUUACUUUAUCAUUCAAAACAACCCUUCUGUGGUUCUUUUCCUCCUCAAUGUCCAUAUCGAAGGUUGGCUAAGAGUAGAGCUGUAUAAUUUGGGAGCCAGGGAAGUUUCAUAGAUUCUUGGAAGAUGAUGGACUCUAUAUAUUGAUUUUAGUAAUGUAUUUAGUUUUUUUUUUAAAUUUCUGUUUAUUUAUAUGUUUGUUGGAUGGGGAUUCAUUUGAUUUAGAAAAAAACAAGAGUAGUGUCAUUGCGUGAAACUGCCAAACAUGCUCGCAAGUUUUUGUAGUGUUGACAGUAAUUGAAACAGGAGAUGCUGACAUGACUUUGGUCUUGGACCCACAAGUUUUUUAGCUGAUUAUUGGAUUUGAUAGAUCAAAUAUGCACUCUCCCAAAAUUAAACAAAAACCACCAAAUGGAAACAAAACCAAUAGAAGUCAUUGCAUGAGAAAUUAGAUUCAACUAUUUGUACUUUCUCACGAUAGGGAAAACUAAAACAAGAUGAAGGGUUGACUAUUUAGUGAAAAAUUGAACCAAUAGUUGUUAUGGAGGUCAUUGGAAGAAUAUUCACCAAUGCAUAAGAUAAAAAACCGAUUGCCUUUUUGGAGAAAAAGGAAAGCAUAUAUCCCAUUUCUUUCUUCUUUCUCUACUUUUAAGGUAAGAAAAAGGGGGGAAAAGAUGCAAAAAAAGGUGCAAGCCUCUUAUUUUAAUGGGAAAGAAUAAACAUUCUUUCUUAUACUACUUAAUUUUAUUUUUAUUUAAUUAACUACUUUUUACUCCCCAUAAUACUCAUUGCAAGUCUCAAGAUUUCAUUAAAGUAAGUUUCAAUAUAAAAGUAGUUAAAAAAAAAAAAGAUUCAAUUAGCACCAAGAAAAGAAAAAUAUAAAUAUAAACAUAAAUAUAAAUGUUUAAGUACACAGUUCCCACCAGAUUCACUAACGGUAACAUGAAUUUGGCAGUUUCUUGGAGGGCAACUUGGGAAAACAACAAAAAGGUUAACGGAACACUCGCAAUCAGGAAAAGGCCACACAGAGUGAAGGUGAGGCAGACAAAGAAAACACACACACUAGACUACAACACUACCACAAUAAAACUACCAAUCCAAUUCUUUGAAGUGGGCUACAACUGCUUUCCUCCUUUUCCCUCUUUCCACAAUUUUCAACCUGUAUAAAUUAGCAGAUACAUUCAUCAUCUUGACUUCAUCAUUCAUCAACUUUUUUUUUUGCCGCUUUUUCGUUUCACUAUCUUUAAUAGUUUUCAGCUUUUUUUUUUUUUUUUUUGUUUGCCUUUUCGCUUUUUAUCUCAUUCAUUCUUUUACUCAAGUCCCAUUUGGCUAUUGGACAGAAGAAACUAGACCCUUAAUUACUUAUUAUCGAAGUUUUCUUGAGUUGUAUCUAUCUCUUGAUUCCUUUGCUAAGGUCCCAUUUCGAUUUUGAGCAAAAGAAAAGGUGUUUACUACUAGUUCUUAAGCUGGUGAAGUGAAGUUUUUUGAUUUUGGUUGUAAUGGCAGCUCCAAAACCUGAAGAGAUAAGCCAUCCUCCUAUGGAUCAACUUCAAGGGUUAGAGUAUUGUAUUGAUUCUAAUCCUUCUUGGGGUAUGUCCCAUUUCUACACAUAAUGAUUAUAAAAAAUAUUUAGUUAAUGGUUUUCUUAAUAAAGUUUCGUUGUAUGGGUGUUUCGAUUUGUUUGUGACAACAGGGGAAGCAAUAGCACUGGGAUUUCAACACUAUAUAUUGGCAUUAGGAACAGCAGUGAUGAUUCCAACGUUUCUUGUUCCUUUAAUGGGCGGAACUGAUGUAAGAAACUACUCACAAAAUCUACUGCUUGUUUCUUGAUGUUGAUGAGAUGGAUAGCCGUUCAUUCUAAUGAAAGACAGUGAAGUUGAAAUGAAUUUCUAAGUGUGUUGACUUACCGAAUAAUGAAGCAAUAAAUUUUCUGUUAUUCAGCAAUUUUUUGAAUUUGCAAGAAGUUAAGAAGAAAAAGAAAGAAGUGGUUGUAGCCUUAGCAAUUCAACUAAAGGAGGAGUGAUUAGUGUUAACUGGUUCUGUUAAUUGGCUGUCUUAAUGUUUUCUUGGAUGUUUGGUCGGACAGGGUGACAAGGUUAGGGUAGUUCAGACUCUACUCUUUGCACAAGGAAUUAACACAUUAUUCCAAACAUUAUUUGGGACACGAUUGCCGACUGUUAUUGGAGGAUCUUGGGCGUUUAUGGUACCGAUAAUUUCCAUAAUUCAUGAUCCAUCCUUGGCUGCAAUAACUGAUCCUCAUUCAGUAAGUCAAGAUGUCUCUUGAGAACUUUGGCUUGAUUAAUUUCUUGAUAUAAACUUAGUUUGUAGUGUGCAAAAACUGUCUUCACAUAGAUUAUUGUUGCAUUCCUGUUAAUUCAUGGAAGAGUUUGAAACAUAGAGAAACACUCCUGAAUAUAUUUCUGAUCAGAUAUUAUCACCAUUUCUCUAACCUGAGGCUCUUCACUUUUAUUUGAAUGAAGAAAAAAAUAUCAUAAAUUGGCUGCAAAAACUAGGUUCAUUUGAUGGAGAAAAUGACAACAGGCUAAUGAUGUAGGUGGACUUUAUCUCUUAAAAGAUUAUAAUGAAUGUCAAGAUAGUCGGCAGUGUGGCACCUCUUUCUUUUUUUUUUUUCCGUCAUUAUAAAUAGUGGGAAGAAUGAGCGUGCAAGGAGAAUGGAGGAUGGUGUAUAAAAAGGAAUCACAGAUAUGCUUGACAAGUAGGCUAUAUCCAUUUCUGUACAUGUAAAACCUAACUAAGAAUAUACCUUGAAGAAAAUUUUGAACUUGCAGGUGGAAUGCCAAGUGAUUUUAUAUUCUAUUUUAAAGAUAUCAUCCAGAAAAUCAGAGGCACACAGCAAUGAUAAAGUUUUCAUAUAUCUGAUGAUUAUUCUUAGAUUAACAAUGACGGCUUUGAUUUCACAUGUAGAGAUUUCUCAAUACAAUGAGAGCAAUACAGGGUGCACUGAUUGUAGCUUCAAGUGUGCAGAUUAUUUUGGGAUAUAGUCAACUCUGGGCUAUAUGUUCUAGGUACAGCAUUUAUUCCGCCUUUCUUCUUUUAGGUUAUUUCUUCUUGAUACUACACCGAUAUAAAAUUCAUGUAAUGUACAAGUGUUGACAUUAUUAUCACAUUUCUGAAAGGGAAACUCACAUAAUUUUUUAAUUUCAGGUUUUUCAGCCCACUUGGGAUGGUUCCGGUAAUAUCAUUGGUGGGCUUUGGCCUUUUUGAUAGAGGCUUCCCAGUGGUAGAGCUGUAUUCAUAUUUAUAUUUUCCGUCUAAUUAUGUCUUUGUUAUUCUUUCGUUGAAGUCUCUUAACUGAUGCUUAAAUGAACUUUCAUGCACUUGAAUCAGGUUGGCAGGUGUGUGGAGAUUGGAAUUCCCAUGCUCAUCUUAUUUGUUGCCUUCUCUCAGGUAACCUUUACUCUAUUUCUUGGAUUGUAAAGGACUCUGGAGCUACCAUUGUUAACUGCCUCUAAUAGAUCACUCAAACGAGACUCCUAAUUAUGUAGUGUGAACUACUCUGCAUCACAUUUUUUGUUGUUAAAGACAACUAAAUACACUGGAAGCAAGAGGAAGAGGGAUUUAGUUUUGGCAAUUGCAGUAAGGUUUGCAAAAGUAUGGGGAAGAAUGAAUGACAACUUUAGACUCUUAGGCAGAUUGACCUUAACAUUGUGUGGGACAACUAACAAAGAAAUAUGCUCAAGGGAAAGGGUGUGCGCAUUAGCACAACGCAAGAGAACGAAUCAUUUUUGUGAUCUUCGAACUUAAAGUACUUGAGAUUAUUCAGCAAGCAUUUUAAAAUUUGCUAUAAUUGGAAGCAAGAGGAAGAGGGAUUUAGUUUUGGCAAUUGCAGUAAGGUUUGCAAAAGUAUGGGGAAGAAUGAAUGACAAAUUUAGACUCUUAGGCAGAUUGACCUUAACAUUGUGUGGGACAACUAACAAAGAAAUAUGCUCAAGGGAAAGGGUGUGCGCAUUAGCACAACGCAAGAGAACGAAUCAUUUUUGUGAUCUUCGAACUUAAAGUACUUGAGAUUAUUCAGCUAGCAUUUUAAAAUUUGCUAUAAUUGGAAGUGCAAAGGAAAAUGCACAAACAGCUGUUGUCAUGUUUCUUUUAUACCAUGUAAGGAGAACUGGUUAUAUUGCACUAGAAAACAAGACAUUGCGCAUGUCUUCAAAUAUUGACCUCCUCUGUGAUCUGUGGAAAUUGAAAUUGCUGACAUGAUAAAGUAUUUAGUAAUGAACAGAAUCAUUUUGUUUCUUGGAGUAGGUACAGAGAGACAAACAUUGCAGCUGAUUUAUUCUGCUACCAAUCCAAGAAAAUUUACGUUUUAUGAGUUAAGGUUUUAUCUUAACCUGAGUACAGUAUGCUGAGGUCAUUCAAAUCAAGAGCUAGGCUGCAAGGACGAGUGCAAGAUCAAGCAUUUGUGCUCAAGCUCGGAUAUUUUCUUGCUGGUCUCCAUUAUAGGCUGAACUGAUUCUGUUGUGCUGGAAGAGAAUCAUUGCCUUCUAUACAUGAAUCACCUGUUUAAGGAUAGGGUCUCAGAAUAAGAAGAUUUUAUUAGUGAACUGAAUCUGUCGUGUUCUAAAACAUUAAGUUCUUACCUGACUAUAUACAGAUUAUGGCAUGUUGAGACAUUUUACCUCUUUAAGUAUACUGAAUCAGAAUGAGAAGAUUUUAGCAGUGAACUGAAUCUGAGUAGUUCUGAAACAUAAGUUUUUACUUGAGUGUAGUAUGGCAUGUUGAGAUCUUUGACAUCAAGAGCUAGGCUAUUCAGUGAAGUGAAAGAGCAAGAGAGUCAAUCCUGCUUGGGGAUGGUAUUUAAUUUGGGAGAACUCUUUCUUUUGCACUAUAACCCUCAAGAAUCAUUCUGUCUUGGAGAACAGUAUUCAGCUCCUUCUGCCUCAGAGAAUGGUACUUAACUUGGGAAGAACUCAUUUGUUGCACUAUAGCCCUCAAGAAUCACUUGCAAGGAUUCAAUAUUGGAAGAAUAAUGUUUUAGCAUUGGACUGAACCUGUCUUGUUCCAAGUGUUGUUAAACCAUGUAACUAUUCAUUAAUGUCAGCAAUGCAUUUAUUUGUCUGCAUAUGGACUUAUAGAUUUUGCAUUGACAUUUUCUUUUAAUUCACAAGAAUCUCCAGUCAUUGUUUCCGAAUAUAAUGAAAUCUCAGCUCUUUUUUUUUGCACAGUACUUGAAACAUUUUCAGACGAGACAACUGCCAGUAUUGGAGCGUUUUGCUCUUAUAAUCUCAGUCACAGUUAUUUGGGCUUAUGCACAUCUCCUCACAGCCAGUGGGGCCUACAAACAUCGUCCAGAAAUAACCCAAAGAAACUGCCGCACAGAUAAAGCAAACCUGAUUUCGACUGCGCCUUGGUUAGUGUCAACUUGAGAUGCUCUAAACUCAUUUUUACUGUUACCAUAAUUUCAGUGUAGUGCUUAGCUUGUGCAUAUGUACAUGCAUAUCAAACACUAUCCUGAGGAAACAUAUCAGUUCUAUGAAGACGUAUGUUAACAUUUCUAGUAGGUCGAAUAUCAGUUAACUUUUAAAAAUCCUGCUACUUGUUUUAAUGUUGGAUGCUGCAAAAGAUAAUUUUUCCCAAUUACAAAUGCAGGAUUAAAAUCCCAUAUCCACUUCAAUGGGGCGCACCAACAUUUGAUGCUGGUCAUGCCUUUGGAAUGAUGGCUGCUGUACUCGUUUCUAUGAUUGAGGUAAAAGGUUGUCCGUGUAUCCUGUAAUACCUUUCUACAUGCAGUGGAACAUCAGCCAAACUAGUUUCAUUCUACUUGACAAUGUGGAAAACUAAGGUUUUCAAUUUGACAGUCAACUGGAGCUUACAAAGCGGCAUCUCGCCUAGCAAGUGCUACACCGCCUCCUGCUCAUGUUCUUAGCCGUGGUAUUGGCUGGCAGGUUGUAAUAUUCAUAGGAUAUACUUUCGUGUUCUUUUACACAAGGCCUGCUUUAGGGGACAGAUACUGUUAUGAAACAAGAAUGUGCUGAAAACUUCAAAUACAAGAAAGAUCCAGUUGCCAUAAUGAAAUGAACUAGGAACUAGCAAAACAGUGCUAAAAGUUCUAUCUGGUCUAUAGGAGUAGUAGAUAUCAAGCCCUAUGCCAACAUAAUAAGAUCCUCAACUUCUCAUAAAUCAGUAAAUGGAAUUCGCUCAGAGAGAGACUGAACCUUUGUUAUGUACAGGGAAUUGGGAUCUUGUUGGAUGGACUCUUUGGGACAGCUACUGGGUCUACAGUCUCUGUGUAAGUUGUUGAGCAAUUUACCCUCUAGAUUUCUAAAUCAUUUAACUUGGCUGUUCAACUUAGAGAAAUGUGGACAUCAAUUACAGAGAAAAUGUUGGUCUUCUUGGAAGCACUCGUGUUGGCAGCCGUAGAGUUAUCCAAAUAUCAGCUGGUUUUAUGAUAUUUUUCUCAAUUCUAGGUAAGUGAUUAUAGCUGAAGCUCUUCAUGUAGGCUUACAUUUUGACAAGCUUGUGCAUUAAUCUGCUAAAACAUGUGCAGGAAAAUUUGGAGCACUAUUUGCAUCAAUACCUUUCACCAUAUUUGCAGCUGUAUACUGUGUUAUGUUUGGGCUUGUUGGUAAGAUACUAUACUUUUGUCUCCAUAUUGUCCUUUUGUCAAUUUCUCCUCAGUUGUUGACGGCCCUUUUGACAUUUCCAGCUUCCGUGGGGUUGUCCUUCUUGCAAUUUACAAACAUGAAUUCAAUGAGAAGCCUCUUUAUCACCGGUGUUUCCCUUUUCCUUGGUUUGUCUAUUCCUGAGUACUUCAGGGAGUAUACCACGGCUGCUCUUCAUGGUCCUGCUCAUACAAAGGCUGGUUGGGUAAGUCAUUGCAUUUAACCAUGCAUUCGGACAUGCAUACCAGAAAAAUGAAAAAGAGAAAAAGCUGAAAGUUCAGUUGCAAUGACUUUAAAAAGGACUCUCUGAUGCUCAGAAAGGCUUUAAAAGGGAACCACAAAAGAAAUUGAAGACAUUUAAUAUCAGUGAAAUUUUGCAAUUAUUUUUUCCAUGUACUGAGAAACAAAGCCAGAAUCUGAAAACAAACUUCCCAUUCAGAUGAAAUUGAGUCCAUUCCCUUCAGGUAUCAGUGAAAUUUUAUCAGAGAGUCUUUGAAAAGAAACCACAAAAGAUGCAUAGGCAAAGCGAAAAUAUGAACUAACUUGCCAUUCAGAUGAAAUUGAGUCCAUUUCCUUUAGGAUUUAGCAAAAUUUUAUGUGGUGAAAGUGAGAUGACCAAUAGCGUCGUGCAUGGCACAUGGAAGGAUUUUACCAGCCUUAAGUUAUCUCCAAUUAAAAAUAAGUUUCAGCAAGUAGUUAAAAAAUUUCAAGUCACUGUUGUGAAAAGAGAAAUUCAUUUCGCUUGUCCAAUGACUAAGACAGAGGUUGUUUUAGAGAACGCAGAUUAGGACAAGAUAAAUGAAUAAAACAUAAUAAAUGAUAGGAGUCCUUUUCUUCUUGGUUCUAAUUUAAACCUCGCACGUUACCUGACUAACAUAUGUUUCUUGCAUCUUGAUUGCAGUUCAAUGAUUUUCUUAAUACCAUCUUCUUAUCCUCUCCCACCGUUGCCUUGAUUGUUUCCGUAUUCCUGGACAAUACACUUGAUUACAAAGACAGUGCUAAGGAUAGGGGAAUGCCAUGGUGGGUAAAGUUCAGGACGUUUAAAGGGGACAGCAGGAAUGAAGAGUUUUACACCCUUCCAUUUAACCUCAAUCGCUUUUUCCCUCCAUCAUGAUUGCAUUGCAUGAGGAAUGCAAAGGCACUUGGAAGGGCUUCUCAUCUGCUGAUAAAGAUUUAUGCUUACAUAGAGAACCCUCAUGAGAAAGGGUGCAGCCAGGGCCACACAGUUUGAGUCAGUAGAGAAUGACAGAUUUGCCUCCACUGUCACUAUUUUUUCAUUAAUUUGAUAUAUACAAUUUGGGUUAUUUAAGAUUAAUCCAACGAAACGAAUUGGUAUGUUUCCUCCACCGUGUAACAUAACAUUGUUGGCAAUGUUCUAGGGUUCAUUUGUUAGAUGAAGCAUAUAUGGCCUUACCUGAUAUACAUAUACCAUUACCAAAACUCACCUGAGAUUCUGAAGACCGGAAGUCUAGUUUUCUUCAGCUCUUCAGAAACUUGAUACCCAACCAAUUAGUUUCUAAACCGAAUGCAGGCUUUCCUGAAAGGUCAUUUAUUAGAAUAUUAAGUUGAGACAUGCAUAGCUUUGCGUGGCAUAUACAAUAACACAAUAUAAAGCACAUGAGACCAAUUCUAUAGUAUGUGAAACUGGGGAUGCGAGUCAAAUAGCAAGUAUCUCAUAUUAUUCUCAUUGAAAAGUAAGAAAUUUUAUACAGUUGACAUUGUGUAAAAAAUAGGACCAGAAGAAACCUGGGAACUUUUCAGGAUGUACUCAUUGGAGAAGGAAAAGAUAAUGUAAAACAUGACAAAUGAUAAAAAAAACUUUUGAUGCUUGAACAGGCAACCUAAAACUUGAUCACUGAAAACACAGGAAUUAUUGAUGCUUGCACAUGCAUCCUCUACAGCGUGGAAGUCUAUAAACACUGCGGUGGAAGCCCCUUUGGCGGACUCUUUGACCUUCUUGAAUCAUCUUCCUAAUUUUUUCCUCAAAAGUACUCCAUUUUAUGGUGUGAUUGUGCAACAAAAUUGCGGCAAGCCUCUUCUUGGGAGGACUAAGAGUUGGAGCAUGCCCACCGCCAUAAUAUGUUCGGUACCCAUACACCAGGGAUGAUAAUUGGCUCCCAGAGUCUGUUAUGGCAAAUACAUCAGCAGUCGCACAUGCAAUAAAGUCCAGGGCUGCAAGCUGCAUUUGAAGAAUUAAUAAUGUUGUCAGUUUUAUUACAAAUGAAGUAUCUGAGAAGUGACUUGAUUAGACACUAUGAUAAAAGUUAUAUCAGUGUAAGGUGAGCAAAUAUGAAGUGGCAUCUCUAGUUAAGAAAUUGUUUCGGUCCUAUGGAAUAAGCAUUUCUAAUUUCUUCCUAAAAGGAGAGAUUUACUUGCAUCAAAUCAUAAAAAAUCAUCUAUCUGAAAUUAAACUGUUUGUGCUGCAACUUACUCUUAGGGCCACUUAAUUUGGAAUCUACUGCUCAUAUAUUAACUGCAAAACUUCCCGGACUGGGUUUCAGAGUGUCUACGUUUACAAGUUCACGUUUGCACUGCGUAUAUAAGCAGGAUAUAUAAGAACAACUGGAGCUGAUUUUUUUUUUUUUUUUUUACUGCAAAUUAAAUUAUAUGAAGAGCAUUUUUAUAUAAGUUUUCUUGCAUGGCUUGCUCUCAGCCCUUUUACUAAUCAAUUGUCGAUAUCAAGAUAUAGCGUAGCAAACAUGUAAUGCUGAUUUAUAUGAACAACAUCCAGUAGCAGGAGUGAAAACUUGAAGCCGUAAGGACUGUAAAUGACACGCAACUUUUUUUUUUUUUGGUACAAAUGCUGAUUUAUAUUCCUCAACACAUCUCUAGUUAAUAUUGAAACGCUGCAUGUCCAUUGACGAAGUGGUUAUAACUAGAGUCCUCAACUUACCUGAGAAGAAAAGUUCUUAAACGGUGCAAGUUCACUUGCUGAGAGAAGAUCUUCCUUUGUGACCACAUUGCGGUAGAGACUGGUAAACGGAUGCAUCCUUGAUUCUCCUCCAUAAAUUUCUGAGCCUGCAAGGUAGAUAUAAGUGUCACUCUUGAAGCCAAGAGCAGCAAGAACAAGUCCUGCUUCUUCUGGUGUCAAUGGACAUCUUCCCAGGUUUCUUAGUUCUGCCGAAGAAGGAUGUCUGAAUCAGAAGCAAAGAUACAAAAUCAAGAUACUUUAUUGUGUUUUCAUGAUAUGAAUGAGGAUAAAUAAAACCUUGACCAUUGCAAGAACCUACUCAGAAGUCGUUAGGCGCUCAAUGAGGAGAGGGAAAUGUGCUUCUCUGUAUGCUUGAAGUUCUCUUCUUUCAUUCUCUCCACCUCCAAAUUCACACAUAGAGUAGGCCACCAUGUCAACUUCAAACCUCAAAUGCAGGGCAAGGUACCUAGAAGUUCCGUCUAGGAUGUGAUGCUUUCCUGGUGAAGCAUCUGAAAUGAAAUUUCCAAGAAGUUGCUUAUCCAGCAUGCUUUUUGCAAUGUCGUACUUUUGGAUCCUUUUUAUCAAUAUCGAACCCAUCUGCUGAAUCUUUGGCACAAACUUUAAAGCAUGGAAGUUGCAUUUACAUCUUAGUCUCUGCAAGAAAUUUUCCAUUGAAGUCAAUGGAAUCAGUAAACAAAUUUUCACUUCUGGACUCUCAUCUUACUGAUUUCUAGCAGCUAAAACUUUCAAUGAAAAGCCAAUAUUCAAUUUGUCAGCACACUUCUUUCCAGGAUCAUGUGAACAAGAUGAAUAGUCAAUAAAGCUCUAUCUAAAUUGAUCAGUUAACAUUUUCAAAUUAAAAAUGCACCGGAAUGACGUGAUGAGUUUUACACAAGAAUCAACAUCUUAGAAGCAGAAUCCAGGAUAAAUAAUCGAGCCUGUUAAUAUGCUUGAAGCAGAGUUAGUGGACGGGGAGUAAAAUGAUGGGCAACCAUGGGGAUUAUGAUUGUCAGGUUAGAAAGCAGCAGUGGCAAGAGAGCAAGUGAAGACCACUCCUCUGUUUAUUAAGAAACCUUGUGCUUACAAAUGUCAUGCAGAUUAUGUAAAUGACAACUUUCCAGUAUCCUAAAGUCAUAUUAGAAAGUGUAAAAUCUACUCUUCUAAGAUGUUCAUGAAGUCCAAUAAGAUGGUCAGGCAAAGUCUCUUAAAAGGUCCAAGUAAUUCCACUAUAUAGGGAAGCUUAUAGUCAUAACAAGCUACCAUCAUGUUGUUUUUGCUCGAGAUGGACAGGUAUUGAAUUUUUCAUUGAUUGUUAGAGAAUUGAGUCUUACAGAUAAUUUUGACAAUUUAAAGCAGGCAUAUCCUGGAAUAUGCAAUUUAGGGACCUAACAUCAAUAAUAAUGAACAGAACGCCAAGAAAGUGCCUGACCUGAAGUUCAACAGGCAAAGGGUCAAAACCAAGUCGAUUACCAAAUCCAAGGAAGUGAACAACUCUGUUUUCUAAGAGAAGUGGAAGUAUCUUCUUAAUGUACUCAUCAGGCGUUGCCUCCUUUGACAGAUCAGCAUCAGUUACCUAAUAGAAAAGGUAAAGUGGCUGACCUCAAUGAGGAAAAAGGCACAAUCUGCAGUUAUUGACAAGGAGAAGGUGACAUACUUGACUGCCAAUUGAUUCAAAAUCUACUGACUUUAAGUCAUGAGGGAGCUCCUUUACAAUAUCUACUUCAUUCUCCAGUGUAUUUAUGAAAUAAUCCUCUUGAUAUAUGUCACCAAAUUGACUGCUUCCAUAAUAAGAUAGAAGAUUUGAGAUUUUGUUGGAAAGGGAGAUUGGUAAUUUGCAACUAAAGUAUGAAAACGAAAAACACUGCUGCUCAAGUGAGGCAGAAUUUAUGGAGAACAAAUAAAAUGCACAAAUCUUUUAUGACAUGAAGAGGUGAAAAUAGACAUUAGAAUGAACCAAAAAUUUUCAACAUUUAUUCAAAUGUAUUCAACGAUUGGUCUUUGGGAUACAAUUUGCAGAUUCGAAUCAUUAACUGUAAUACAAAUUAUAUAACCACGAUAAUCAAAUAAGGCCAUUAGCCAAGGAAAACUUAAAAAGGCUGAUAUCAUAAAUGACCUUGAACCAUCAAAUAAUGCCAUUACCCAAGAAGUACCUUAAAAAGCUGAAAUUGUAAAUCCAAGUGAAGGAAUCAGAUGAAAAGAAAUUUAUAUUUCUAAUCUUUUCUUUUGGUUGUCAAAAAAAUUGACUAGUUUCUAAGACUGCAUCAACAAUAAUACCUCAAGUAACGCAAGAACAUGUUUCUUUUGUUGAAAGGUAAAUGCAUGCAAAAAUUUUCUCCCGGAAAGAAAUCUGUAACAUCUUUUUAUGGAAAGGGAUAGAAAGGAACCAGUUAUGAAGGGAAAAAGCAUAAUUUAGAAACAAAUCAGAAAACAAAUUUCGUUUUGAGACUUCUAAUGCUGGAGAAGUCAUCAUUCUCCUCUCAAUAAGCAUGUAUCAACAUAGUAAGAGGCCAAAUUGGAAGGAGAAAGACCUAGGAGCAAUAUAUUUAACCAAUCUUGACUCAACACACAGUUAAAUGUACUUCUGACCUGGGAUCAUUCCAUACAUUGCUAUAAAGAAAUUUGGGAAUGACUAAAGUUGCAUUUAGCAGGGAUGCAACUGCAACAGCAUUGCAGACCUGAAAAAUUGGAACGAAGCAUUCAGUGGCAAUUAGUAAGAAAGAUAGAAUCAGAGAGUAAAGGAAAAACAUGAAGAAGAUACAGGAAGUAAGAUGAAACUUGACCCUACAACAACCAAAAGUACCAAAAAGGAGGAGGACUAAAUUCUGCAUGCUUACAGCAACUCGCUGCUGAUUUAGGCCUCCAUUGGCACUGACCACAAUGUAACCAGAACUGUUCCUGGAUUUCCCUGCCCCGACAACUUUAAACAAUUACACCACAGUUCAGACAGCAAACCACCUACUGUCAGAGAUAUAACUGUUGUAAGAAGCAAAUUACAAUUUGAUUUGUGCAUAGACAUCAUUCAAUGAAUCUAAAUUAUACCUUUGGUACUCUUCUUGUCAGCACAAGGCUUCCACAUUGAUGCCUGAGGGUAUGAUUCUUCCCAAAAUUUUGAUUCACCUCUCUUCAACUCUUUCUGAAAUAUUAAAUUGGUAAAAGGGAAUGCAGAAACAACAAUAAAUAAAAUCUUUUCUCAGCAUGCUCGUGUAUUCCACAACUACCCAAUGAAAAGUACAAGAUCAGUUGAUAUCCCAAACUAGCCAUGGAACAGACAACAAAAGAGCAACUAUUUCAGUAUAUUAUUCUGUGAACUCCUAAUAUUAUCAAUUAUCUGAUAGGCAAGUCACUUGCAAGACCAAUGCUUAUGCAAUCAAACACAUUCUGAUGAUGCGACCAGAUGAUUUGGCCUUAUCUUUCCUAGUUCUAGUAAUUAAGUAGCUGUCAUUUACUGCAGAAGCUCAGAGCACUUACAAAAUCUAUGGCUAAGAUAGUAGACACUCCUGCCCAUGCAGCAUAAUUGAGAUUACAAAAAUAUUCUACUAUAUGAAAGCAAUGAUAAUGGUUCUAACCUCAUUAACAGAACUGGCCGCCAGUUUUAGAAGGCGAUCAUACAUGUUUGUUGAACUCUUUUCCUCCAACAUGCCAGUGAUUUUCUCCUGCAAUGAUAUAUGACCUACUUCAUCUGUAAUACUGAUCAUAACAACUCCUUAUAUGUGAUGAAUUGCUUCACAACUGAUACUUUGGAACAAAUAAUUCCUAAAUAAACAAAGCUCAUCCAGCUACUAUGUUUAUUAGAAUAAGCACAGUAAAUAAACUAAAUAUGACAGAACAGCCUUCAAUAUUAUCAUCAUGCAGAGGUUACAUAUAGUUUCCCCAUGUUGCUUAAUUUUCAAUUUGCAGACACAUACAUCAGCUUAUUUUUCUGCAAAAGAAUGAUGCAAAGUUGUCAGGAAAAUGACUUACGUUUACAGAAACAACUCCUGUUCUAUAAAACGGACAAAAAUAUUGUUGUAACUUAACUUUAGAUACUCUUCUAAUUUAGGUUUGACAUACAGAAACAGUUUUUUAACAUAUAAAUUAAUUCAUGUAUAAUCCUCUCUGGAACUUUGCUAUCAUCAAACCCACAUGGAUCGGUCUAGCACUACUUAUGUUCUGUUAAAUUUCAUGUGAGACUCAGCUCAAUGGUGGAAAUAUAGUAGCAUCAAUUUUGUAUUCAUAGCAGAUGUAAGCUGAUCAAUCAGAAUUGCUUCUAAUCUCUGGAUGAAGUAUAACAAAUUAUUCCCUUUCAGAAGUGAAACUAUAGCCAAUGACCAUAUGAGCUAGCUGGAAACCAUCAAUUCCUAACAUAUAAAGGAGAGCUACGUGUUUUACUAGCAUACACCAAUUGCUCAUAAGUACCUUCCAAAAGAAAAUUAAUAGGGCCUGUGGUCUUGAAAAUUAUGAAAUUGGACUGAGCUUUUGAAUUGUUAAAAAAUAAACUGAAUUCCAGAAAUAUCAUCUACAAAUUCAAUUGGCACUUGGCAAUGAGGAAUCAUAUCAUAUUAAGGUAGUCUAAAUGCACAUUUGAUCUACUUUUGCUUUCAUUCUUUUCAUUUCAAUUUGCGCCACUAAAUUCCUGUCAAAAUUAGAUAAAUCAUAUUGUUUUUGAAUCUUUCAUGCAUGUCAAAGAAAAGCAGAGCAUAUUAAUUAACUAAAUUUAGGCUUUAGAGCUAAUUGGGAAAGCAUGGUGCAAAGCCAAACUGAUGGCAGUACCCUAAACCAUACCUCUUGCCCUGUUGAUCUGUGAGGGGCCGAAUGAUUCUUGAUUAUUGACUCCAAAAGAGAAAACAAAAGGGAAUCCAGCAGGAAAAGAAAGCUCAUGAACACAAAUGCUAAAAUGAUCCGCCUAAUAUGCCUAGGGAGCCACCACAUAUACUUCUUGCUUGCAUUAACACCUUUAGAAGCAGCAAACUUUCCAGAAUCAUUCCUCAAUCCUUGAACCAGAAUAACCUUAUCCCAGUGGUUGUCUCCCCCUGAUCCCCUUCUACCUAAAGAGGGAUCUCCAGUCUGCUGCAUAUCUGAACAUCUAGACUGAGACUCUCUCAUCCCAUAAGAAACAUCCAAAAUUGAAUUCUUGGGCUUAGGACUUCUAGGGGACCCCUGCUUUCCCAUUUUCUUGCAUUCAAGUAAUGAUCAUCAACUAAACAUAACCCAACCAACCAAUUUUCCUCACUCAGUUGUCAACAUCCUCAAAAUAAUCGCCUCAAAAUCAAGAACAAAACCUUGUAUACAUUAAUGAUACUAUAAUCCAAAUUCCCUUUAUUUUGGGCAUAUAUUUUAUGUAUGUUCCCUCUUUCUCUCCCCUUGUUUCUCUUUUGCCUUGUUUCUGUUUGAAACAGUUAUCCAUUCUACUAGAAAUCACCGGCAAUUUGAAGUUUGGUGAGAACUGAAACAUCAUCAGAUAGAAUGGACGCAUCCAAGAAGUAGACUUAAUUAAUAAAACAAUAAAAGAAGAAGUAGACUUAAUACUUGGAGGCUAAGUUAAAUAUUAGGUGGGAUUGACGUAUAAAUAACAGCUACUUAAAAAACAACAAUUUUCCAAAGAGCAGGGACGACAAUAACAUGCAGAAAUCAAAGUACAAAAAUGGAUACUUAAUACGUAACUGAACUUAUGAGAAACAAAAUUUAGUAUAAUUUAGACUGACCAGGUCUAGCGUGUAGAAGAGUACUGGAGACGAAUUCCAUCUGCUACAACUACUUUCCACCAAACAGUGGCAGAUAUUGAGCUUUUACGUUUAGUUUUGUGCACUUUUUUUAGGCUGGAUUCUAGAGAUUGGAGUGGAAAAUAGAAAGUUGUGAAGAAAAGCAUCUUUCAGAAAUUGGCCACUAACCAUGAGGAGGAGGGAAAGUUGGUGGUGGAUUUUGGUGGGCCAUUAUUAACUACCUCUUCCGAAUCAGUUGGUUAGUCUAUUAAAAAAAAAAGUUAAUUAGUUAGCAGAGGAUUUUUAGUUUUCGUUUUUCUCUUUGAUUUUUCCCACAAAAUUGAAAAACAUAUAGUGUAUCUCAACAGAUAUACAAAACGAAAGAAUAUAUUAUGUAUAAAUUAGAGAGAAAAGUAUAUACUAAAAUGGAAAGAAUACACUGGCAGUUUUCAUAGAUUUUUUUUCUUGUUUUUUCAUAAAAAGCAAAUUUCAUUAAUCAAUUGCAGGAAAUCGUGCAACAUGAUAUAAUUUACAUAGCCGCUCUAAUGGUAGUUCUUAGAAUUUGUAACUAUUGAUAAGAUGUUGAUUAGAAUAACUGAAACAGGUUGUGUUGGAGUAAAAGGCUGCAUUGGUAUAUCAAACAUUAGGAUAAAAUUUAAUGAAGUUCUUGGCCCUUAAAUUAUAAACUUUAUCAGGCUCAAUCAAUUAAAAUGACCCAUGUCAUUGAUCAAAGAUGUUGCUUAUUAUUUGAAUUAAACCAUAAGGUUGGUUCAAGAGUUUGGAAGUACCAUACAAUGAUAAAAUGGAAAAUAAUACUUAACAUUUGCCCAAGGAAACUAGUUUUUAUUUUCAAGUUGCCCAAGGAUCUCUCAAAAUUGAGGAAUAACUGUUGUUGACCUUUGUAGUAUUUUUCUUUUCUUUUCUUUUAAUCUUUUCUUCAGCUCCAAUUGCUUCACCAUUGGUGUUUGAGUGACCUAUACUGUAUCCCUUGGGGAGUUUUUAUCCUGGAAUAUGAAACUGAAACAGCAUUUAGUUAAUUCUGUAAACGCAGGAAAACAGUUCAAAAUUUGACUGAGCAAGAUUUUUGUUUUCCGGUCAAGUGGAGGCUAAAAACCCGAAUAAUAAUCACAAAUCUUGCACCGGUGCCCCCCCAAAGAAAUCAAAACCAAGCAUAUUAUCCUAGGCUCUAAAUGGUGGGGGGCCAAUCGGAAACCAAACUAUGCAUGUUCCAUCUGUAGAUUGUUCAUUUUUAAAUAGAUUUCAUGAGAUUUUUUUUUUUUUUUUUCUGGUGGAUACGUGUUCUACUUGGCAAAAUGAUCAUAAUAGUAUCAUCUCUUUGUUUCUUAGAGUUAAAGAGAUGAAAAUCUUCUCAAAUUAAAUAGAGUUGAUUACAAAGUGGAUUGCAUUGACUGCCACUUCGGCUACUGUUUUUGGACAAAAUUUUUGGUUGUUUUGAUGCUAAAAAUUUGUCAUGCAUGAAAAAGGGAAACAAGUGUGAUACAUGGUCUGAAAGACUAUGGUUUAAUGUCUUGAAGGACUGCCUAAGACCCAAAAGGGCGUUGAGUUAAGCAGUUAAAUUAGCUUAUUAAUGAAGGGUCAAAUCAUCCAACCAAGACAGCCUUCAGGAGUGUUUGACAUGAUUAAAUCUAACUUCCUAAUAGUAGUUUUUUCCUAUUUCUAUAUUAAAAGUUAAAAGUAUAGUCUAGCUAGUUUUAGGAGUUUACUUGUUUAAGCUGUAGAGAAAUUAUUUAGCAGUUUCAUAUCUUAGUUUCUUAAUUACCAAAUCUUGUGCGCUAGAUAUAAGGUGUUUUAGUAUUGUAUUCUGGUGAGAGUUUUAGCAUUUUUGUAAAGGCAAUUUUGUCUAGAAUUUAUAUAAGAGUUAGAUACGCUUUAUAUGUUUGUGAUUAUUAAACUCCUCUCCUCUCCCCUCCUCUCCUUCCGUGUGUCUGUGUCAAAUAUCCAUCCGUUAUGCAGUUUUUGCGCCUAACAAGAAAUCUGUAGUGAGUGAGAUAUUUGUGCACGUAUCUUGCCCAAGAUGAGUAUAUAUCAGUUUGCAACCUGGUUUCACCAUACAUCUUGAUCCUGCAUCUGCUGUGAAGAAGUCCUUGGUAGUGGAUUUGGUGGGUGCUAAGAGUAGUUAGUUUGCAAUGGAAGUAUAGCCCUCUUCAUGUAUUGCUAUACUCGAUCAUGGGGCCCUAUACUACCACUUUAUUUGGUGAUCAAAUCAAUCUCCUCAAAAUCUCAUGAUCGAGGCCAGGUCUGGUGCGUGGCCAAGCCUGCAACAUGGAAGAAGAAUUGGCAAACGACGAAUCGUUUCUGUAACAAGAUGGAAUAUUGAUUGUUGAAUCGCACACCCGGCCAGCGGCUUUUGCAUUAAUCCGAGCAAACACACGCAUCAGUAGAAUUCAUUGUUUGUCAGCUCACUUUCAGAUGAGAUGGCUUCGACACGACCAUAUCUGGACUGGAUCAGUCAUUUCAACAAGGGUGAUUUUAUCACCAGAAGCUGUACAUGUACAUGGCAAUUACAAUUGGAAGAACAGAGAAUUAUGGUGCCAUUCACAAAAUUGCAACAAUAGCUAAUCACUAAACUAAUGGUCUUGGUAAGCAAAAUCUGCAUUUAUCUAGAGCUGAGUGACUAAGUUGGGCACUUGGCAGUCUCAGUUAUUCAUCAUGGAAAAUAGAAGAACUGGUUGGCAAUCUCAGGAGAAUUUCCACUCCUGCUUAUGACUGCAACUUGAAAACCUUAAUAGCAAUUACAAAACGGAAUUUUCUUCUUCUUCUUUUUUUUUUGGUUAAACUCUAGACUAGAAUGGAAAAGUUUGCAAUUUGAAGGUUUACAAAAGCACUAAACUACUUAAGCCACUAAAUUGGAUGUUAAUUAGCACUGAACAUUUUCCACUAAAUUGGAUGUUGAUUAGCACUAAACAUUUGCAAAAACGGAAGUUCUAGCAUAAAACUCUAGGCUAGACUGCGAAAAUUUGCAAUUUUGAAGGUCUACGAAAGUACUAAUUACCUAAGCUACUACAUGGGAUGUUAAUUAGCACUAGAUAUUUGCCUCUAUCCAUUUCUCUACUUAAAGUGAAGGCCACUUCAUUUGUACGACACUUGGCAAACAUCCAAGUAGAGAUAUCAUGCAUUUAAGUGUUUUAUUUUUGUUAACAAGAAUCAAUCCUGUCUUUUUUCCGUUUACCUUUUAUCCUCAAUUUCCAUAUUGAUAGUUUUUUAGUGUUCUAUUUUUGUUUAAAAAGGUCAAACCCAUCUUUUAUCAUUUUUAUCCUUAAUUUCUAUAUUGUCAAUUAUUGAGUGCUAUAUUUUUGUUAAUGAAAUCAAAUCCAUCUUUUUUCCACCCAUUUUUCCUUAAUUUCCAUAUUAUUGUUUUUAAUAUUUAAUGUGGAUAGCGUUUAAUGUUUUAGUUUUGGUAAUAAUUUAAAUUUCUAAUUGUUUUAUUUUUAUGACAAGAAUCAAUUCCUCUUUUUCUCCUUAAUUUUCAUACUAAUUGUUUUUUAUAUUUAAUAUGGUCAUCUUUUUGAGUGUUUUUAUUUGGGUCAGCUUCUAAAUGUUUUAUAUUUGUUAACAAGAAUCAUUCCCAUCUUUUUUCCACUGAAUUUUUCCUUUAAUUUUUGUAAUUACUAUAUUUAAUAUAUUUAAUUUGGGCAGGUUCUUAGCAGUUUAUAGUUGGUAAUAAUUCAACUUUUUAAGUGCUUUAUCUUCAUUACAAUAGUCAAUCAAUGCCUAAAAGGAACAAGAUACCUUUGACGUUUACCUAUAAUAUGGUUUAUAAUUUUCAAAUUUGCCAAUAUUUUUACCAAACUAUAUUCAAUCUCAUUCAAGGGAUAGGUUAAAUACUAGUACAUCUAAUAAAAUGCUAUUCAAUUCCUGUUUAGUAAGUAGAUGAAUUGGUUACUUUAUCCUUCUGCCAAGUAGACCACCUAUCUUUUUAUCACAUGCACUUUUGUAAUUUUUUUUGGGUGUUUUAUAUUCUUUCUCUACUUUUUUGGUAAUAAUUAAUUCUCUUUCUUAUUUAUAACCACUUUCAACCAAUUUAUUAGUUUCUGUCUUAUAUAUAUUUGUAUUAAUUACGGAUUACUAAAUCUUUUUAUCAAUCAACUUAUAGUUUUCCUUUCUUUAAUUCAUUUCUAAUCAAGUUUUGUAUUUUUAUUUUUUGAUUUGAUUAUAUAUUUGAAGUUACUAUUACUAAAAUUUGGACAUGUGUUAAUUUUUCUAUAAUUCUUUAUUUCCUUAUUUAUAACAAAUCUUAAUCAACAUAUUGAUUCCCUACUUUUUUUCCUUUCAUUUUGGUAACAAUUAACUCUCUUAUUUAUAGCAACUUGUAAUCAAAAUAUUAAUUUUUUCCUUAUAUAUAUAUAAUUAUUAAUUAUGCCUUGCUAAAUCUUUUAUUAAUCAACUUAUACUUUUCCUUAUUUUGAAUUCUCUCCAAUCACGUUUCGUAUUGUUUUUAUUUGGAUUGAUCAUAUAUUAGAACUUACUAUUACUAAAAUUUGUACAACUUUUAUUUUCUUAUAGUUCAUAACUUCCUUAUUUAUAACAAAUUUUAAUCAAUGUAUUGAUUUCUUGCUAUAUAUGCAUUUUUAUUGAAUUGAUCUUUCUUUAUUUUUUUUUGUAUCCAUGAGUCCGUAGUUUCAAACACUAUUAAUUUUGGUUUACUAAAUCAUUAAUUCUGCGUUGAUUUUUUAAUUAAUCAACUCAUAGCUUUUGCUAUUUCUAUUAUUUGGCUUGAUUUGUUAAUAGUUCUAAAAAGUUGACAAUUUUAAUUUUUUUAAUCUUUUGGUAUUCCACAUUUUUAGCAUAUACAUUUAAGUUUUAUAAUCAGUUAUAUUUUUUGAAUUUCUUCAUUGCUCAUUAUGUUUUCUCCUUUAUAUACAAAUUUCUUAGCAACUUAUUACAGGCCAAAUUUUUUUUUUUUGCCACAAGCAUAGAUUUGGAAAAGUGCUUGGUUUUCUUUAUAUAGUCCUUUUACAAUCAUGACCAGUUGCUAUUUAUGUGGAUAUCUUUUUUUUUUUUCCUUUAAAGGAUUUUCCUUUUUAAUUUUUUUUCUUUAUAUUUUUUAGGAAACAAUCGAAUAUUAAUAUACUCCCCAAUAUAUUUACUUUUCUCACAUGAUACUUUUCCAUCACUGGAUUAAGAUUUGUUGACAACUAAUGAUCAUUGUUUUAUGCGAGAGUAACUAUUUUUAUUUCAUUUAGUUUCAUGGUUUGUCAUAUAUUUAGUAUCUCAAAUUUAACAAUUUUUUUUAAUUUUAGUUCUUUUGUCUCCGUAUUCAUCUAAAAAUAAAAAAUUUUGAAAAAAAAAAUGCCCUUGCGAAUGCAAAGUUUACUUAACCAACUAUUAGAGUAGCCACCAAGAAAUAACCAACUAUUAGAGUGGCCACGAAGAAAGUUUUAAAACUCUAUUUGGAUGUAAGUCAAGAGAUCAAAUUGUUUGGCCCGCAUUCUAAUAUCCAGGCUCUUCUAGAAAAUUUUAUCAAUGGGUGCGUAGACACCGGUCUGUAUUGGUGGUGGUUCACCGGGUUCUCCUUGACCUCUUUAGGUUCCUCAUUUUUUUAGCAUAGAGUAGAAGUAAAUGUAGAAUAGAAUCUAUCGUGUUGACAAAACAAAAAUGCACAUUUUACUAAGGGGUUAUCCAAUAAUACUUGCCAAUUGUCAUUAAUAUUUCCUUGCUGUCGCUUAAAUUUCCAAACAGCUAAAAUUGCAGUUUCUGUCCUGCUUGUGUUCAUGCGCACUAUAAAGAGUACCAUUCGUUUUAGCAAAAUUAUGCCUGAUCAUAUUAAAAAAAAAGGGGGGAGAUGGACUUGUCCUUAUCAUUAUCAAUUUUCCUUUCACUUCUUUUUCAGAAGUGUAGCGUUCCAGCAUUGGCGGCUACCACCAACGAGCCUCCAGAUGCCUUGAUCUAUGUCGUUUGCUUUCAGACAAAAAAUGAAUCGCUUUGUCAAGAAGCUUUAAGAUCAUAUCCUCUACCCCCUGAAGGCUUAGAUUUUAAGAUUCUUUGCCAAGCUUCAAUUGCUGUGUCAAAUGCUGAUGCCAAGUCAACAUACAACUUGAUCGGCUCACUUAAAAGAAAUGAAUCAGAUCCCAAGAUCCUGCAUGAAUUAGACUUGUGCUUGUAUGCUUAUGAACUGAGUAUUAGAGGCAUUGCAAAAGCCAACAACUCCUUGAUUGCUCGUGACUAUGAUGGGCUCUAUAAAAUUGCAGUCAAUAACCAGGUAAUCGAAAGUAAUUGUGAGACGGGAUUUGUAGAAAAGGGUCUGGAUGAACCAAUCCAACUUAAAGAGGCCGGAAAAAAGUUUCAAGAUCUUGGCGAUAUUACUGUGGUUAUUGCAAAACAUCUAAAGGAUAUGAAGCAUUAAAUGCAGAUCUUAUCUAGGCAUUUCAUAGUAUUUUAUAGAAGAAUCUUGUCCUCCGAACUUAUUUUAUGUAAGGGUAGGCAUGGAGCCGUUCUUGGUCAAUUAUCUAUCUAUGGCUAUGCUUAAACUCCAAUAUUUUAAAGUUUUUUUUGGUAGAAACUCUUAAUUUCUUAAGGCUCUUAUUGUUUACAGAAGGAAGAUAUCUUCUAUUGUUUGCAAAUAAUUUAAAUUUCAACGAGAAUUGUUUCACAUAGUACAUAUUAAUUAGAAGUAUCCAAAAAAAGACAUAUAUAGUAACAAAAAAUUAACAAUAUCAAUAUUUAAGCCAUAGUUUUUAUUAUAGGUGAUUUUUUUACUGCGAGUCGAACAAACACUUGAUUGCUUUUGAAUAUGAAGACCUCUAGUGGAAAGCAAUUAACAUUGACAGUGCCGAAGCUAAUUGCAAGAUGAAAUUUAACAUUAGUGGUGCGGAUGAACCAAUCCAACUUAUAGAGGCCAGUCAAAGGUUUCUGGAUUUUGGUAGUAUUAAUAUUGCCAUUGCAGAACGUCUCUGGGGAAGACAUGAGUAUUAGUUUCUUUGAAUCUGUGUAAUCUAGUUAAUGAUGCAUUAUCUGCUUAACAAAAUCUAGUAUUUUCUUUUUGAUUGAACAAAAUGGUAGUGCAAGUAUUUAAGAUCUUCCUCGUGAUAUUCUUUUGUUUUAUUUUUUCCUUCCACCCUACAUUCUUUCUGCUCCUAACUCUCAGAUACAGGAUUUGAAUCAUGAACCUGAUAGCGGGAAACAUUCCAAGCUCAUUCGUUCGUUCCCUUUAAUAUUUAAUCAACCAAGUUAUCCAAUAACUUUAUAAGCAUCAAAUUGACAUCAUCAGACUUUUUUUUUUCCCCUUUUGUGAUGGUAACAGUUGCACAAGGAGCCUUUUCUCGUGGAAAAUUUGAAUUAUGUCGGUGGAGGUGAGGCUGAUCCAAAAUCUAUUGUCAUUAUUGUUUCGCACGAACUGCAAACCUGCACGUAACUUGGCUUCAUAAUAUUCUGCAAUGCAACCUUUCUUUCAAAAAAAAGGGGUCUAGACUGCAUUGCAGUCCUUGCUUGCUUAAGUAUCGGAGAGAAGAUGAGACCCACAUUUUUUUUUUGGUUCUUGACACAACAGCAACAAUCAAAUCAAGGCAACUGUAAUCCUCUCGUUGCUGCAUUGCAUAAAUCUGUGAGAUUUGUUUAUGAUACACGAAACAUUAAGCUGUGUGAGGGGGGAGGGUUGGGUUGGGUGGUACGGGGGGAGGGAGUGUAAGCAAGAGGUCUCGGGUUCGAGUCCUCCCGCUUACACAAAAAAAAAAAAAAAAAAAAAAAAAAAAAAGCUGUGUGAUCAAAUUCUCAGAUCAAAUCCUAUACCACCUCGUGGUUAUGAUCGUAAGAUCCUUUGCAAAAAAUUGCUGGACGUGUCAAAUGCUGCUGCCGAGUAAGCAUGCAACCUGAUCAGCUCACUUCUGAACAAUCAAACAGAUUCCAGAAUCCGGGUGUCAAUUAGACCAGUGCUUGGGUGACUACAAAUCCACCAUUGGACUCAUUGGUGAGUCCCGCAAGUUAUUGAUUGCUCGUGACCACUAAGUCCCUCAAAAACAAAGCCGUUGAUAUUGUUGAUGCUGAAAUUAAGUGUGAGAGGGGUUUCAAUGACACUGGUCUGGCUGAACCAAUCGAACUUACAGAGGCUAGUAACAGGUUUCAAGAUUUGUGUAGUAUUAUUGUGGCCAUAGCAAAAUGUCUCAGUCGGCGGAAAAAAUUAUAGUACUUAUAAAUCUAUGCAAGCUGAGUUACAUAGUUCAUGCAUCGAAUGGAUAUAUUGUUCCUGUGUUUUUCUUUAUUUUGACAGAAAAGAAUGUUAGGAACAAAUAAUUUCCAAUAGUCUGAUGGUAGUGGUUAUUUGCACUCUCUAUUCUCUAAGCUGUUUUACAAGUAAUCUGUGAAGUAUGAUAAUAAAAGUAAUCAUGAAUUUGUUAUAUUGGUUCAGGCAAAAUGGGAGAGAAAUUUCUGUAGUUAUAUAAUUGGGCAAUUAGAUGUCUUGAACAAAAUCAAAGCUAGAAAAUCUAAUGCCACAACAAGAUGCCUCAAUUAGUUUCUAUAAAGCGAAUAAGUGCAAUUCGUUCAAAAAGUUAAAAAAGGAACCUCCAACUCCCUGUUGAGUUACAUGUUGUGGACAAAUAUAACCGAAAAGAAAAAGGAAAAAAAAACUGUUCUGCUCUUGAACCCCGGACUGUAUCCCUUCUUAAUUUUAACACUCUCCAGCACUCUCCCUCCAAAUUCCAAUGGCUUCUCACGGCCAGCCCCAGCCCGAUCCCCUGUACCUUUGUUUCCGAAUGCUUCACCAAAUUUGACUAACAGCAACAAGUAUCAUUAUCCACCAAGCAGGCAAGAACUUAUAUCCAAUUGUUUUGACAUUGAAUCAAUCCGGUACUUCAAGUUCAAAAAAGGAAAAAAAAAAAGAAGAUAUAGGCAGACCUUUAAUAUUUUGAUUUGGAAAAUUGACAUAAAAAUUGGUGAGUUUAAGGUGUAAAAACUAUUUCAAUUGUGUGCAAUUAAUCAAGUUUUUUUUCCCAUCUCCCACCUCUUCCACCCUACAGCAAGCUAGGUACUCGAUUCGAAUUUUAAACUUGAUAGUGGAGAAAACUCUGAUAACCCUCCCCCGGCUACUGUGAGUUAGUUGAAUAUUGAUUCUCAAUCCAAUUAAUUGAAUUUAAUAUUUAAACAAAGGCUAAUGCAAGUUGGUUUAGUUGACAAGAACGGAUUACUUUUUCGCAAAAAAUAGUAUGUUCGAAUAUGUUUUUCAAUAAAUUUCAUAGAGUUUCACAAUAAUUUCAUUUUUCUCCAAUUUUUGUGUUUGAAAUAGGACUAGCCACAUAUAUGUUAUUUCUUAUCCAUAAUUCACUAUUGAUCAUCUCAUUUACCUUAAUAUCUAUUUAAAUUUAUUUUAUUAAUAUUAAAAUUUUUGAGUAUAAAGAACGAAUUUUUCUUCAAAAAGUUUUAUCAAUAAAAUUUUUGAAACUAUUUGUCGAGGUUCGUAUAUCUAAAAGUGUGGGUAAAAUGAAAUUGAGAGUUGUGCUGUUUUAAUCUUAUUACUAUGACUUGAAUAUAUUUUUGGGAGAAUUGUAAUUUUGAUCCCCAAUCUAUAGUGCAUGUGUGGAAUUAUCCCCAAUCUAUUUCGAAAAUCAAUUUUGGUCCCCAAUCUAUUCAAUUUUGCGCUAAAGUGGACAAUUGACGGAAUCUCUUCAAUUUCAAUCGGAACUAAGUCACGUGAGAUCACGUGCCGGCACCUAAAACCCUUUUUCAAUUUUUUAAUUUCUAAAUAACAUUUUUUAAUAUUUUCAGCUUUAUUAAACAAAGACAUGCAAAGGUUAAUCUCACAAUCCGAACUACUCCUCUUGUUGGCCACUGCCUUCAAACCCCCAAAACCCACAGCACGAGUAAGAAGCUCAGCUUGGCCUCCAAGUCCAAGUCUCGUUCCUGCCUCCAUUAGUAAUAGAGAUAUCUGCAAUCAACGCCAGAGACGGACCUAGUUCAACUCUCCUGCACAAACAACAGGAGCAGCAGCAGCAAUACUACUUCAUAAGCAAGCAAGCAAGCAGCCGAGAGAGAAGAGCGGAUGAUGAUAAUUGGAAAUCAAUGGGAUUAUACAGACCAAAUGAUCAAAGGAAUUAUACUGGUAAGUAUAUUCUUUCCCUAUUAGCCAUUCUUCACCGUUGAACUGGAAUGAGCAUUCAUUGAACCACUAGUAUAUUAUUGGUAGGUCAUGCUUACGGCUAGAACCGACACUUCAUCAGUAACUAUAGAAUGGGCCUUGUCUCUUUUGCUCAACCACCCGAGGUGCUAGAGAAAGCUCAAGCUAAAUUGGAUGCUCAAGUAGGGAUUGAUCGAUUGGUCGACAAACAUGAUCUAUCCAAUCUUCCUUAUCUUCAUAACAUUAUUUUAGAAACACUUCAGUUGUACCCAGCAGCACCAAUGCUAAUGCCACAUGAGUCGUCCGAUAACUAUAAAAUUGGGGGAUACAAUAUUCUGCGAGACACAAUUUUGCUAGUUAAUGCAUGGGCAGUUCACAGGGACCCAAACGUAUGGGAUGAUCCAACAAGCUUCAAGCCAGAGAGAUUCGAAGGCUUGCAGGUUUAGCCAUCAAAGUUGAUUCCAUUUGGGAUGGGAAGGAGAUCUUGCCCUAGUUCUGGCCUAACACAGCGGGUGGUGGGUUUGGCCUUGGGAUCUCUAAUUCAGAGUUAUGAUUGGAAAAGAAUUGGCGAGGAGGAAAUUGAUCUGGCUGAAGGGACAGGAGUGUUCAUGCCAAAAGCCAAACCACUAGAAAAAGCGUGUUUUAGAAAUAAAAAAUUGAAAAAGGGGUUUUAAGUGCCGGCACGUGAUCUCACGCGACUUAGUUCCGAUUGAAAUUGAAGAGAUUCCGUCAAUUGUCCACUUUAGCGCAAAAUUGAAUAGAUUGGGGACUAAAAUUGAUUUUCGAAAUAGAUUGGGGAUAAUUCUGAGCAUACACUAUAGAUUGGGGACCAAAAUUACAAUUCUCCCUAUAUUUUUAGUACUUGGAACAUUAUCCUCUAUCUCAUAUGAUGCUAAACAACAGUGGCACCUAAAGAUGUACUUUUAACAAUAAUAGAUGGGAGAUGUCAUUACACUCAUAUUUUGGAUGGAGUUAGAUCUUUUUUUUUUUCUUAAUGCAAAGCUUGUCUUCAUUGUCAAAAUUUAGAUUUUUUAAGCAGUUGAGAUCCUCUAUGCCACUACUCGGUGCCAAUCCAGUGCCCAUCCCACUUAUCACAUGAUGAUAGAAGAAAUUUAAAUAAACAAUACAUGACAAAUUAAAUAAAUAGGACACUUAGCAUAAAUAUAGAAAUGACACUGAAUUGCCACUGAAAAAGUAGCACUGAGGAUCCCGUGUGUUUUCCAAGUGUAAAUAAUCUCUAAAGUUUAGGGUGUAAACUGCGAUUAAUUAACACUAUUCAUUGUUAUUCUGUUUUUACGAUUGCCAUCUAAGUCAACGCUAGCUCUUGCCAAAUCAACCGGUAAGAUUAGAGCUUUUUUUUUUUUUUUGGUUUCUAGGAAUCAUCAAAUACUGUAUAGCACAAUUUAUACCUUAUUUCUCAAAAAAUUCAAAUGGUUAAAGCAAGGAGGGUGGAUGUCUCUAAUUACCUUGAGUAAGAUUGCAUUAUCAGGAGGUACCAUCUCUAGCAUAUUCCCUGCAACAAAGUCCAAGUUCUCAGUUCUCUGUUGGUUGGACACCACAUGUGGGAGAUCACAUACAAGACAUUCUAAGUUGGGAAAAUUUUGGGCAAUGGCCUUAACAAAUUCACCAGUGCCUCCUCCAACAUCAACUAAAGAUGUCAGGUCCUCAAACACAGACUUGCAUUGGGUCAUCACCACCUCAACGAUUAAACUAGAGUCACCAGCCAUGGCUUCAUUAAAGAUUUUCCCAAAUUGAGGUUCUGCAGCAGCAUAAGACCAGAAGUUUUUCCCAUGUGCUGUAUCAAAUGGAGAGGGAUCAUCGUUCUUGAACCACUCAGUCAAGAAAUUCCAGGGCUUCAGUGCAAUAGGAUCGCUCACAUAAUAUAGAAAUGCCCUCAUAUUGAAAGGCUCAUUCUUUAAAAGAAGACGGCCUGUAGUAGAGAGCGAAUAACCUUCAUUUUGCCGGACAAAGAAGCCAGCAUUUGAUAAGAAUCGCAUUAAGCGAUGGAUGUGGAUAGAUUUAGAAGGGUUGAUUGGGAGGGCAGAAAUGAGGCCAGAAAGCGUGAUGGGCUUCCCAUGUUGAGCAAUGACAUCUGGGAUUCCCAAUUCAAUUGCACAUUUUAGAGAUGCACAUUUUCUGAAGUUGAAUAUUUGGCUCCCUGCAUAGUCUUGAGCUUCACGAAGCUCAACAAGAUUCUCAACCUUUUCCAUUCUUAGAACUUUUGGAAUUACAUGGAGUUAGGCUACUUAAUCGCUCUACAAGUUGAACAAACACCAUUUCCAUAUUUAUAGAGGAAUAAUGCAAAAGGAAUUGUCGCUUAUAACUCCAUGCAUAUAAAAGUGGCUACUCUUUUUCCGUCCCAUUGUUAAUGUUAUGUUUUCACUUUUUGAAUAUUCAAAAUGAGAGUAAUUUUCUAAAGGUUAACAUAAUAUUUUAUUAGCUCUCCCACUUACUUAACCAUUUGAAAAAGUUACAUUUUUCACCUGCCAAUGCAUUACUCAUACUUUUAAAUUUUGAAUUUGAGGAUAGUAUUGUAAAAUCACACAAAUCUACCUUAUUCGGACACAAUAAUUACAUAUUCCCUUAAAAAGUUAGUUUCCUGAAAAAAUGACUCAAAUAUAGGACAGAAGAAGUUUUAUUUGUAUUGAAAAUGUAGAAUGUUUGUUUGGCUUUUACGUUUUCAAAAAUUAGAAGUUCUUUCCAAAAGCAUUUUGUGGGCUCUUUAAGAAUCAGCUUUUUCAAAUUAAUAACCCAAUAUAAUAACUAAAAAAAAAAGAAAAAGAGAAAAAGUCAGCUCUUAAAUGGUGAGGGUGUAGUUCGAACUUCCAAAAAGAAUCAGCUUUUAUUUUAAAGAAAUCAUAUUUUCCAUGAAGACCAUACAGUUGUACAAAACUCUUAAAUUGUACUAAACAGCCAUCCCUGCAAGUGAACUCCAUCCAUGUCUUACAAAGCAAUUACAAAUUACAAAUCCCAAUAAAGAUUUAGUCAAUAAUAACCAGCCGGAACAGAUUGUGUCAUGAGCUCACCGCCAAAAAACCGGCAUCAAUCAACAACAAAUGGACCAAAUUUACAGAAUUGUCCACCUACUUCAAGUGCUAAUAGGGGACCAAAGUUUACUGUUCAUAUCUCAAACUCCAAUGUUUAUUAUUGUUAAGCUUGAGAUUAAGAUAUUCAGUAUUUUUUUUUAAAGAUAGAUAUUCAGUUUUAUAAAUAAAUACCUGACUGAGGACAGCAGGCAGGAACGGUUGCAGGGUUUUUGUCAUUUUACACAGCGCGUAACUUUGGUUGCACACAGCGUAACUUUGUUUGUACAACGUGUAACUUUAGUACAAAAAUUUGCGAACCCCACACAUGUUGUGAAAAUCGAUAUACAAUUUGUGAUUUGGACCACACAUUUUUUUUGGCCAAAAUCUGGCCGUUGAUUGUUCAGGGACGGUCAUUCUGAUGACCAUCCCUGCCCUUUGUGCCCCGACUGAAUAAGACAAUGGGAUAAUGUAUUGAUAUAUAAGACAAAGGGGUGUCUUAUCUUGAAAAUACACCAAAAACUGGUCGGCUACCAAAACCCCAUUAAAAAAUAGAUAAAAGCCAGCUGAAUACAGAGUUAUAAGGGUGUGGGUGUGUUCUUCUCUCACGAAUUGAGAAUCAUAUGAUUCUCAAAAUGACAAGUCAAAGUCCAAGAAAUUAAAUCCCAGAUUUUUAGAUGUUAUUGUUGUCGUUAAAAUAAAUUUUGUUCGGUGAUUUCCAAAUAUAAGAGGUAAACGACCAAAUACUUAAUGUCAAUGAUGUUUAUUUUGGUGGAUUCUAAAAUGAAAGUAUCAAAGAGAGUUAAAUCUCAUGGAUUAUCAAAUAGCAAUGGAACCUAGCACUUGAGCAAGAGCAUAUGUCUGGAGGCUCAAAACACUGUCAAGUUUAAUCGAGCAUUAAAAAAAUAAAAAUCUUAAUUGAGCAUAUGUAAAACUUUUGUUUAUUAGUUUCAAAUGUUUACUGUAUGUCUAAUCACAAUUAAAUGGAUAAAGUUUUACUAAGGAUCUGUUUGAUAACAUAAAAAAGUGCUGAAUCUGAAUUUUUUCAGACAUUAGAUGUUUUGACUGUUUGAUAAAUGAAAAUCCAUUUGCUAAAUUUGUUAAGUAGUGCUGAACUUGUGUGUAUUUUUUUCAGCACAAGAAGCCUAACUGAAUGCUUAAUUCUGAUAAGAAUCAAUAAAAUUAUUUCAAUUACCUUAUCUUAUCUACCAAAUAUACCCUUGUUUGAUAAUUAUGUUCAAAAUUUUUAUCUAAUUAAACAACUUAAUAUUUUCUAUCUAAUGAUUUUCUAUUUCUCUUUUCUCCCUUUUAAAUGACUUUCACAUCUUCUGCAUACUCCUCAUAUAAUAUAUUUCAUCUUUUAUAUUAAUUUGAUUUAAAAAUAAAUAUUGUCAUUUUCAUAUCUAACAUUUUUAGCUAAUUAAAUCAUAGGUUCUAUUUCUUUUUUGGAUGAAACGAUAUAAGGGCAAAAUUAUCAAAUUUAACUUAUUAAGCAUUUAGUUAUAAAUAUUUAUCAAACAGUAUAAAUAGGUUUAGCAUUCAAAUUCAGACAUUUAUAUAUUUCUUUUCAAUGCUUAAAAUUCAGCAAAUUAAUUGUUUCAAUAUUCAGAUUUUAGAAUUCAGACUUCAGAAUUCAGAUUCAGUUUUAUCAAACGGAACCUAAAACGUGCACACUCUAACUCGGUGUAAGUUAAGGUUUAACAACAACAAUGACAUUUAAAAAUUUGGGAUUUAAUUUUCUUGGAUUUUGAAAAAUUCUUGUCAUUUUGAAAAUCAUGUGAUUCUCAAUUAUUGAGAGAAGAAUAGAUCCUUAUAAAUCUGUAUUCAGCCGGCUUUUAUCUGUUUUUUUUAAUGGGGUUUUGAUUGCCGACCAUUUUUUGGUGUAUUUUCAAGAUAAAACACUCCUUUGUCUUAUAUAUCAAUCAUUACCUCUUUGUCUUACAUGUCAAUCUCCAUUACCGGCCGCUUGUUGAUUUAUGAUGCCGCCUUAUACAUCAAUUCAUUUCCAACCUGCCUUAGAUAUUGUAUUUUCGAAAUACAGAGUCUAAUGCAUGCAUCUGCUACUUUCUUUUGAGGUUUUCUCUGUGGUCUUGGAAAGUCAAUCCAUCUACUCGGGUGCCCCAAUCCUGAAUUGGAUACUCUUGCUUUGACUUUCACUAUGGUACUCUAUUUUUGUGGAGUAAACGACACAAAUAUUUUUAAACUAUUCAAAAUUUAUUAUUUUGAUCUUCAAAUAAAGGACUCUUAUGACAAUUGUGUUUUAAAAUGUAUUAUGAAAGACUUGUUUAGAUCAGCCUUGCUUUGGUUGUUUUAUUUGAUAAUUUUUGUAUAUAGAAUUAGGCUAUAGCAGUAAAUAGUUGUAUUUUGUAUGGCAGGUUGAAUUUCGGGUUCAUCUUGGUUGUUGCCAAUUGCUACGGACGUACAUGGCAGGAAGACUUAAAAGUUAGUAUGUACAAAAUUUUAGUUAUUUUGGUUUUGAUUCUAGACAGGGUGGUUACUUUUUUCCUUGAUUCUAGAUAGGGUGGAGAGGUUGAGGCUCAUGAACCUUGAUUCUUUUUUUUUUUUUUUUUCUUUUUCAUUCUAUUUUUUGAAAUUUUUUUUUUUUUAACUUUUCGACAAGUGGUUUUCUGGAACCAUCAACUUCCCGAGUUGGGGUGGUUACUUCAACAACCCAUAUGUUUUUUGAGGUUUUUUUCAUUAAGUUUUUCAAGUCAUCUUUUUCCUCUCAAGGAAUAAUUGAUUUAAAAGUCUUUUGAGGUAUAUUUUGGACAGUUAGACUGACAAAAUUGUAGGGCAUCCAUGUUUAACUUUGUGAUUGGUAGUUUUUGGUUAUGUUCAAAUUUGCACUAAUUAACAACAAUUCAAAAAGAUGCUACAAGACUGUUUUACCAAGAUCCAUUAAUGUUAAACCAAAUUAGUAACAUAAUCAAGAAUUAAUUAUAGAUUGUCAUCACAUUUUUCAUAGUAAAACAUGGAAUUCAAAAUAGUACCUUUAUAAAUCUCUAAUUUUUAUCGAUUAUCAACAUAUUUUCCCCCUAUAAUUCAUCUAGAAUGAUUUUUUUUUAAUUCCUAUUAAUCUUAGAUCUUGGCUCCACCACUAAUUGAUAGCUCCAACUCCCAUUUCGGUUUUGACAUGGUCUCGUGAGCAGAAAGAUUACAACUAUUGGUUUGAAUCAGUCAGGAUAAGCACAAAGUAAUGGAACCGUCGCUAUGGACGUUUAAUGUAGAUGUUUACAGGAUAAGCCAAUUGAUCUAAUUGAUCUAGGAAUAGGUCCUUCAAAUCUAUUAAAUGCAAGGGAAAGAUCAAUCACAUCUUGCAUACCUCCAAUUGUACUAGGGAUGAUCCCUGAAAUUUGAUUCAUAGAAACAUUUAACAGUGUUGCAGCCUUUAAACUUCCGAUUUCUGAGGGAAGAGAGCCACUCAAAUAGUUUGAAGACAAAUCAAGAUGCAAGAGAUCACCGAGGCUCCCUAAGCUUGAAGGUACAGCAGAGUUAAAUUUGUUGGAACUUAGAUAAAUGUAUCUUAGAUAAAUAGUUGUAUUUUGUAUGGCAGGUUGAAUUUCGGGUUCAUCUUGGUUAUUGCCAAUUGCUACAGAUGUACAUGGCAGGAAGAUUUAAAAGUUAGUAUGCACAAAAUUUUAAUUAUUUUGAUUUUGAUUCUAGAUAGGGUGAUGUUAUGUCCCGAUUUUGGGAUGUGACAACACAUAUAAUGGCUUCUUUUCUUCUAAAUUCUCUUGUUCAUUGCACGAAUGAGGAGAGAGUUAUCUUGGCUGAAAAUUUUUGAAGGCUUUUUUGAACUGAAAUGGAAAAGUGAAUUAAAAAGGAUCAAGUGAUGAUAUUCCAUCCAACUUGCUUGGGAAUCCAUCAAUGGUUGUCAAUUAAUCAAAAUUAUGAAAUUAUGAAGAUGAAAUGUGUUUUGACUUGAAGAACAAAAUUAGUCCAAACCCCAAACAUUGGGAAUCAAAAGUGCAAUUUUCCCUUCAUGAUAGAAAUGAUACACCAUGAAGGCCUAAACUGGUUUCUAUCAAAUAUGGUUUACUUUUGUCAUAGGUUGUAAAUUAUUUUCGUUGAAGUGGUAAUAUAAAAAUCUUCUAUUAUGCUUGAAUAACAAAUUGAUUGUCGAAAAAUGUUUUUGAUUUCUUCCACAAAAUUCUGUAGUUUCCCAGCUUGCAACAAGUUGAAGUUCAAAAAGCCAAAUUGAAUACAUUUUUUCCACCAGCUAAACAAAUGCGCUUACUAUCAUUACAAUACAAGUAUUAUAGAGAUUAAAUACUUGGCCUUUGUGGUUUCACAGAACUUGAACUGUAACAGAGUAUAUUUAAUAUCAAAACAAGCCAAUGUUCCACAUAUCAUAUACCAACCAAUGAAUAUUAAGCGCAAAUAAGUAAAAUCGAUGUAUAUAAAAGGCAAUGCUCAAAAGCUUUAUGCGUAAUAGAAUUUUUUUCAGCAUAUAUAUUUGCUACAAAAUAAAAAGUCUAACUAUAUGAAACAGAAGCUGACUUGUCUUGCACGGUGGACACCCGCUAACCUUGAUGCUAUAGUCUCUGAAGACUAUUCUAAUGUCACCGAAUAGCGACCUGAUAUUGUGCGAAGUUCUAACCCAACAAGAUGUUUAAAGAAGACUUGACGGUGGCCCUUCGCCGCCCCGGUCCCUUAGGGUAGGGCUGUAAUCGAGUCGAAUCGAGCGCGAGUAUUGCUAUACUCGAGUUCAAUUCGACAGUAGAGAUAUAUUGCUCGACUUCGAGCGAGUAGCAGAAAUGGAGUUCGCACUCGAACAUGAAAAAUUGCUCGAAAACUCGAGAUCGAUUCGAUUUCUUGUGAGUAUGACUCGAGCUCGAGAUUCUUGUCCACUUCUAGAAUUAUUUUUUCCUCUCAAAUUAUUUUUUUCCUUGUGAAAUGACUAUAUGACCUAUAAAUAUUUUAAAGCUAUAGCCAACAUUUUGGUAAUUUAGACAACUCCAAGCCUAAAAGAGUAAAAUUGUAAUAACUAAAUAUAUAAUUUUUAAUUAAUUAAUUUGUGCUCGUUAAGGCUCGAAGAGCCAUCGAGCUUGACAAAUUAAUACUCGAACUUGGCUUGAUAUAUUAACGAGCUACUCGAGCUCAACUCGCUCUCGGUCAAAGCUGAGUGCGAGUCAAGCUUUUGACCGAACUACUCGCGAGCUGCUCGCGAGGAGUUUGGUUCGUUUACAUCCCUACCUUAGGUUCCCUCCUUACUGGCGUGUUUAAAAAGCACGUUAUUCAUACCUUAUUUACACACACUGAUUUGUUUGCAUCAUCAACACAUUUUUCAAUCACCUUUUUAUCUCAUAUACAUCACAUAAAAAAAGUGCUACAUUCUUGCACAAAAUUAUCUCAAAUAAUUUACAAUCCAAACGCCUAAAUUUGAACUUGGUUAGAAAUAAAUGUAAUGAGCUUUUUCCAAUGUGGUGAAACUUUUAAAGUAAUGACGACUAGAUAUGAAAGUGUUGAAAAUAUGCUUGAAUUUUCUAAAAAGCAGUGACAAAAACCAAAUUAUAUAUAUAUAUAUAUAUAGAAAGUAAUAUUAUGAUACUUUAUUGGAACAAGUAUUUGUCCGAUUAAAAAGAUGAUAGGAGUUAAAAGAAUAGUUCAUAAAAUAUUUUUCAAAUAGUAGCAGAUCAAACAAAUAUAAUUUGCAAAAAAUUGUUUGUUCAUGAUAUACCACAAACUAGUUAAUUUACGUUUUUAAUAAAAUCUGAGCAAUCAUAUCAUCUGUAGUAUAAUGCUCGGAUAACAAAUUGAUUGCCCAAAAAAUGUUUUUGAUUUCUUCCACAGGAUUAUAUAGUUUCUAAGCUUCCACAGGAUUAUAUAGUUUCUUCCACGUCAACAAUCAAAAUUGAAGGAUAUAAUAAAUUGGAAGAGAAGAAGUCUAGAGCUCACUUUCAGGGGAGACUUCAGAGACGACCGGAGGUAAGAUAAUGAGCUGCAUCUUCCCCGAUAUUGAGACUACUUAAUAAUUUGAAGCAUUAAUGUUCCACCCACCUUGGAUACACAAAUAAUUUGAAAGCCGUAUUCAAUUUUAAAGCCGUAUUCAAUUUUAAUUCACAUAUUUUGCUAGAAAGUGACCCUACGGAAUGAUAGACAUCUAUGCUAGUUGGUCAUAGCUACGUCUAUCUCGAUUCGAUGCAUAGAGCCGAUGAUUUGAUUUCAUAUGAACUAGAUGGUAUAAUAAAAAGAUCUUGCAAAGUUUCGUGCAGAAGCAAAUAUUUUAGCUCAAAAAAAAAAAAAUACUUUGAAAACUUUAAAACAUUUAAGGGAUGAAAAUGAAAUUUUCACAAUCUAUCUGGGGACGAUGACUCCUAUUGAUGUUAUCAUAGUUAAUUGCUGUUCCCCACAUCCACGUGCGUGUUACUGUGUCAUGAAGACUUCCACGCUCGUCUUCAGUAUAUAUGAUUUUGCUGCUGACACUAAUUCAUGCGAGUUUCGGUCAAAAAAAAUCUCAACUUGAUCAAUGAGCAAGGCCAUGGGCAAAAUUCACUACCUUUUCUUGAUAAAUUUUAGCUUAGUUUCGUUAGCCAUGAUGGCUGCCGGCAACAGUAAUGUUACAACGGAUCAAUUAGCGCUUCUUGCACUAAGAGAUCGCAUGAUCAAUUCAGAGCCUCGAGAAAUCUUGGCAAAAAACUGGUCCAUUACCUCCUCCGUCUGUGAUUGGAUAGGGGUCACCUGCGGCUCUCGACACCACCGAGUGACUGCCUUGAAUAUCUCAAAUAUGAACCUUACUGGUACCUUACCUCCUCAACUUGGGAACCUGUCCUUUCUGGUUUCCCUUAACAUUAGCAAGAACAAUUUCCAUGGAGAGUUGCCCCGUGAGUUAGUUCACUUGCGCAGAUUGAGAUACCUUAAUUUUAAGAUCAACAAUCUCGGUGGAGAGCUUCCCUCCUGCUUUGGUUACUUACAUAAACUCCAAUACCUGUCUCUCGCAAACAAUAGCUUUUCGGGUUCUAUCCCGCCUUCCAUCUCUAACAUGUCAAAAUUGGAGACGCUAUAUCUGUCUUUCAAUUCCAUUGAGGGGACCAUUCCAACAGAAUUUCAGAAUCUUCAUAAUUUGAAGACUUUGAUUAUUGAGUGGAAUCAGCUUUCCGGUCCUUUGCCUCUCCAUGUAUUCAACAUUUCCUCACUGGAAAACAUUGCCUUCUGGAAUAACAACCUAUAUGGCACUCUUCCGGACGACAUCUGUCAGCGCCUUAAGAAACUCACAUGGCUUAAUCUAGCGGACAACAAUUUGAUCGGUCGAAUACCUUCAACGGUGUCUCAGUGUUCACUGCUUCGGUAUCUUUGCUUGUCUGGGAACCAUUUCACUGGACCGAUACCCAUGGGAAUUGGGAACCUGACAAUGCUGGAGGAAAUACUCCUGCAGACGAACAAAUUAACAGGUAAAAUGCAUUAGUGACUGCUUUCAUUCCUAUCUUUUAAGUAUAGAUUAAGCUUAUGUUUCUGUUCUUGUAUAUGCUUCAUAGAUAUCUAGUAAGCUUAUGCUUCUGUUCUUCUAUAUGGAGGUUUCAUAGAAACAUAAUAACUAUACCAACAUUUGUCCUUUUUUUUUUUUUUGCGGUUUUGAUAGGCAGUGAUGUGAAAGCCCAGCCUCUCUCUAUUAGUCUAGAUUAGUCUAGAUGCAAGUUACAUUUCUAGAAUCUUCCCGAAGGAAAUCAGCACCGCCUUAAUUGUGGUAACUUAGUGCAUGUAUAAAUGGACGGCAAGUGUUUAGUACAAGUGUACGGUAAUUUUAUGAGUUUUAAAUUGGUGUCUUAGUUUAGAGUAUAAUUGUUAGGAGUUCUAGUUAUUUUGGUAUAGUGCGUGUUGUGUAUAAAUUAUGAUUAUUAUUUGUGGAUUUCAUUUUGGAUUUUGGGAUUCACAUACGCCCACAUAAACAUUCACGUUUAUGUACGAGCGUGCAUAUAUUCUUUGGUAAAUUACAUUUACCUCUUUUGAGGUUUGAUUAAAUUACGUAUCAGAUCCUAAGGUUUGUCAAAUAGAUUUAUAACAUAAACACUCUUUUCGCAUGGGUCUUAACCCUUUAACAUUACAGGCCUUCAUCAAAUCCACUUUUAUGACAAAUCUUGGCUUUCCUCUGAUAUUCUCUUACCAAUGCAUGCAUUAAAAGAACACUAUCUGCUAAAGCAGCAUCAAUUGUUGGAAGGGGAGAUCGAUGUCUGCCUUUCACAAAAGCAUUUUGAGUAGUUGAAAUGAACGUGGGAAGCACGUUCUUCAAUCUAACAGCAGGCAUUGCAGCAAUACACUUGUAUAAGUGUAUUAAAGUAGGAAAUAUAUCUAUAGUCCUUCAUAUGAAUAGCAUCCUUCACCUUUGGAAUCAAAGUACAGAAGUACUGUUUAGGGGAUAGAACAUAUAACAUUGUUCAAAACAGAACUUUAUAGCAUCUGCAAUCUCCCUUCCAAUUGUAUCCCCGCUGCCUUUAAAGAAUUCACUGGCAUAUCAAUCUGGUCCAGGUGAUUUCCCAUUCUUCAAGCCAGGUGUUUGCAAUUGUUGUUUCUACUCAUCAGAGAUAAUAGGAGAGAUCAUCUCUAAUAGAUACCUUGAUUUUAGAACUAAAAAGAUUCUUAUAAUAUUGAACUGCUAUUUCCUUCAUCAACUCAUAAUCAGUUACUCUUUCUCCAGCAUCUGUGAUUAAGGACAGGAUUUUAUUUCUAGCAAUAUUGCUCUUCAUUUUUCUAGAGAAAAAAAUAGUAUUUCUGUCCUCCAUAUUUAGUCACUGAAUUCGAGAUUUUUCUUUGAAAAAUUGCUCCUCAGCUAUCACUAGUAUUGCAAACUUAUUAGUUGUUGACUUACACUUCUAGAUCAGCUCACUAUUUCUAGGUUCUGAUUGGAAAGCAACAUGAAUGCUAUCCAAUUGAGCCUUCUUUUGCAGCAUUCUGGCACUGGUACUACUGAAGUGCUUUGUAUUCAAGAGUUUGAGCUCAACUUUCAAUUUUCUAGGCUUUUCACACACUUUUGAGUGGAUUACCAACAACAACAAGUGACCAAGAAGCCCUUAGCACAUCACUAAACUGCUCAUGCUUCAACCAAAAACUGUGAAAUUUAAAGGGCUUGGGACCAAAGUCUAUAGUAUCUACAGUUCUGACAGAAACUUGAGAGUGAUCAGACACAUUUGGAGGCAAAAAUUCAACUUUCAUUCCUAGAAGAGGAGUACCAUGCAUCAUUUGCAAACACCCUAUCAAAUUUACUAUAUAUUUUAACUCCAUCAUCUAUCAAACUACACCAAAUAUAAUAUAGUCCUAUACUAGGAACUUCAUCUACAUCCAUCGUCUCAAUAAAGGUAUUAAACUCCUCUAUUUACCUAAAGUCAAAAUCAUAACCACCAAAUUUAUCCUCAGCAGAUCUCAGAGCAUUGAAAUCUCCAAGGAUCGCCCAAGGAUUACCACCUAUUUGCCGGUUCAACUCCAUCAAAUACUUCACAAAGGUCUUCUAUCUGCAGGUUUAUUCAUACCAUAUACCAUAGUUACCAUAAAAGGGAUCUUUAAGGUCACAACUUGUACUAAGCAAGUGAUUGCUUCAUGGUGCAUUUUAAAAAGUUGACACUGCACAUUUGUCCCAUUUCACCAAAACAAGACUCUACCAGCAGUAUUACUAGUAGCACUAUGAAAAUAGCUCCAUCCAGGCAUACAUCUUUGCAUCACAUUAUCUAUGUUAUGCAUUUUGACUUUAUUCUCAAAAAUGCCAAUACUAUCCACAUGUAAUUCAGAUAUUAGUUUUUACAUAGCUAUUUGUUUUACAAGUAUAUUGAGACCUCUAAUAUUCCAACAUAUGACUUUAUGAUGAGAUAGGCAUCUUGUUACACUUUCCCUUCCGCCUCUGCUUCAACUUUACACUUUUUGAACUUUUUGCAGUAAUAUUACUAUCACUAUCCUCUCAACUCGAUAAAGAAGAAUAACUAUUUGCAAUUAGUAGAGCAAUCUCAAUACCAAUGAUAGGAAUUGACUUUCCCAUCAUAUCAGCAACUGGCUCACUACAACCACUCUCAGGGAUCAUGUUACUAUUCUCUUUUGGUAAAGCCAUUUCCAAUAUUUUAUGAUCCAUCACAUCUUUCCCUUUGUCAUGAUUCUGUUCAAGCUCCAUAAUAGACUUGCCAGCCUUUGCAACAAUCAUUCUUUUUUCUUCUUGGAUAGUAGGUUUACUGUUCUUUACACCAACCAUUGUCUCUUCUUUCUGUUUGGGCAUCCAUUUUUUAAUCACCUGGGGAACUGACAGACAUUUAUUUGCCUAAUGUCCAAAACUCCAACAGUGGUUACAACUGGAUAAUACCCACUCAUACUCCACUUGCUAAUAAUCCUUCCUCCAAAAUUCAUUGACAAAUGGGAUGCUCGUAGGUCUUGCUGUCUUUAUAUCUAAUUCAACACAGACCUUAGCAAAUCCAACUCUUGUUUGAGCUGCGGUAUGAUGAUCAGUAUAUAGUGGUUUUCCCACAACACUAGCUAGUUUGCUAAGAACACUAGGGGUAUAAUAGUGCAAUUUGCCAGUUUCAAACUUGGAAAUCGAAUCCAAAUGGGCACAGUGGAAUAGAUAUCCUUAGACAGAUCAAAAUCCAGACUCCAAGGCUUUAAGAAAAGCAUUUUACUACCCCAUAGCCAGGGUGAUUGCUCGAGUACCUCAUUUUUACUAGCCUCGUCAGAGAAGUUAAACACAAAGAUCCCCUGCUUAGCACAGAAAAUUUCCAUUUUUCCCAAGUGGUUCCACUUCGUAUCAACAAAUUUUUUGAUUACAGAGAAAGGAGGCAAAGUUCCCACCAUAAACCCAACUACUGCAUAUUUCCAUUUGUUGAUGCCUUCAAGUACAUCAUCCAGAUCCAAUUUUACCAGAGACAAAUGCUCAUUAGCAGUCUUUUCCAGAGGAUCAAAAUUAAGAUGCAUACCUCUGUAAGAAGACUUGGAUUUGACAACUUGCACACACAAAUCUCUUGUCAACAGAUCCCUUUGUUUUCCUGCACUAGAUUCCCCACAAUCCACCUAUCGCAAACCUUGCGCUUCAACUAGAGUUGGAAAUUCAUGAUCGUCCUUCCCAUUCAUAACCAUUAGCAAAUUUCGCCCAUUCCCAACAUCAGGCCAUUGAAUUCGCUUGGAAGGAACCAUUGCAUGUCUUCCUUUCGCUGAAUUAGUAUGCAAAAUAGGCACUAGUUCUGAAAAAGGAGCCAUAAGUGUCUAGUUCAAAGAUCCCACCAGAUCACGCAAAACAAGAUGAAACAAAGAAAUUUGACCGAGGAAAAGUAAUCGGGGAAGUAGACGCUCACAAACCACUGUAAAAAAACUACCCCAUUGAAGCAGGAGAGCUCCAACAAUAGCAGGAAGAAGCAGCGUGCACCUUGGUAAGUGGUAACUCUCCUCGGCGCACGUUUUGACUUUAUUAAUUUUGCUACUAACAGUAUCACUGUGAUUCUAACUUCUAAGGUUAAAAAUAUCAGUUGUUUCUCCCAUUUUUAAAAUUUUGUAAUAUUUUCAACCCAAUCAAAAUAUAUGAUUAAACCACUUAUUCUAGUGAAAGGAAAAUAAUUUCUUUCUAACAAUGCCGUUUGUUACACUAUUAUUUUACACAGUUACAAUUAUAUUAAUUAAGACUUGAAAACAAAAACAAAAAACAUGAAGAUGCAAGUCUGCUGUGAUAAAUUAUGGCAACUAAAAACAUAAGCAGCAUAUUCAUUUAAUCCGCAAACAAUUAAUAAAAGUUCAUUUAAGAUAUUCUCAAGCGACAAAAGUAAUUUUUUUUCUUUGGGAUUUGUCUAUUUGGUGGUCUAAGAUCACAUAACAAGUUGUAGAUUUUUUUUUUUUUUUUUUGGCGAAAGGAAUGGACCCAAAAAUUUUGCAAUUUAGGGGGUCAGUUUUGUUUUUAGAACUUUAAUAUUGGGCUUAUCUUCAUUUUUUAACAUGCUCUUAGAGUACCGAAUAAAAGAAAUCUUUCCUUUUAUGUAAUAUGUUUUGAGUAAAUUUAAGAAAUUUUAUAGACUGUUUAGUGUCCAUACUUUUUAUUUCUCCAACUCGAUGGCUUGAAAAUUAGAAAGAAGAGAAACUAUUCAUAAUCAUAUUUAAAAUUCAUUUGAGAUGUUUUCAAGGUGCAAAGAAGUUAUUUUAUUCAUCUUUGCAGUAUUUUCAAAUGCUUUUUAUGCAUUUCAUAAAAUAUUCAGAAGUUGAGCUUUUUUUUUAUAUAUUUUUUGUCCAUAUUAUUACCAAAAAAUAUUAAAGGAUCUCUCAACUUGGUUAAGAAAUAUUUCUAUUUAAUUACCACAUUAGUCAAGUUUUCAAAUGUUAAGGAGUUUUUAAUUAGUUUAUCAUAACAAUAACGUAGCAGGUUCAGUUGGUAAGAUGCUUUACCUAUAAGUCAAAAAUCAUUAUUGAUCCUUGUUGAGAAGAAAAUAGUUUAUCUUGGUGAGUUAGGGACCACAAAAAAAAGAGUAACUUUGGAAUGAUGAAUUGGUACUUUUUUAUAAUCAACAUGUAAGAUCCAAAAUCCUAACGGAUUUGAACUCCUCUGUACAAGCAACCGAUCACUAAUGGCCAAUUGGCAAACUGGACUUACUAAUUGAAACUACAACUAAAUGAUACAAAAUGCAAGUAAAAUAAUAAGAAACAACAAUUGCCUUGUGCUCUUGUCAUACAUUUUAGGUUUUCGUAUACUUGUCCAGCUAUCAUUUUUUUUUUUUUUACAUAAUAUAGUGUACGUUUAUUAGAAAUAAAUUGGUGUAUAUCAACUCAAUGUAAAAUACAAUUGCAACCAUACCUACCCUGACCCCGUA